AAAAAAAAAAGAAGCAAUGCUUCUCUGUUUGAAUUGACGCGCUCAAAACUUUUACUUUACUUCUACUUUGGUCGAGUGACUCUCUAACUAAGAAAAAUUAAAACCUUUAUCAGAUUUUUUUUUCUGAUAAGUUUAUCAAAUUUACUAUUUUUAAUCACUUUAUACCUAAUUCAACCAUUAAAUUUGACAAUCCUCAGUCAAAUAUUUUUUUAUCUUUGUAUUAUUUUAAUUACCUAAUAAAUUGAAAACUUUGUAGAUUUAAUAACUCUAUUGGCUAUUUAUAUUUAAUUAUUUUAACCUUAUUUAAUAAUUAUAUCGAUAAAAUUAUCAAUAAAUUUGAUAAAAUUUUUGGUUCAUUUAAAUAAAAAAAUUAUUCAAUUUUAAGAAAUAGUAGUAAAGAGAAUUUGAAUGAAAAUGGGUUCUUAAUUUAUUUCUAGCUACCUACAAGUUACAAUGAACCGAGUUGCGACCGGGUUGACUCACGAGCGACCCGGAGAAAUAAUAAUGUUUGCUAAAAAUAUCUUGCUAUAAUUAUCCAAAUUUUACCCAGGAAAAAAUAAAAAAUAAAAUUAAUAAAUAUGAGACAUUUAUUUCGGGUUACCGAAUCAUCCAACGUAUCCGAUAAAGUCAUAAAGAUUCGCUAUAAACGAAGAAACGCCACAAUUCCCCACCAAUUAUUACAUUAAAAAAAAACGCGUUUUUCUUUUUUUUUUUUUUCUUUUUUUUGCAUUAAGACCGACCCGGAUCCGACAAUAUCCCUUGUUUUUCUAACUUUAGAAAACUUAAGGGAGAAGGUACAUAUUUAAGGAGGACCCCUCAACAAUAGCACAUUUUGAAAGAGGUUCUUAAACUUUUUCUUCAACUUUUUUUUUAAAAAUUCUAAAUUCUUAAAUUGAGUUAAUUACUCUAGUUAUUUGUAAAUUUCUAGUUAAAAUACUUUCUAAAUUUUACAGUUUUAUUAGCUAUUAAUGAUUAAUUCUUUAGUUUUUAUCCAAUAAAUUUAAAAAUAUAAUCUUUUAAGAGUUUUGCUAAAAUUGAAGGUUUUAAAAUGGCCUAUUGUGGACCAAGUGUAAAUUCUCUACAGUUCGCAUGCGCAAAAAUAUCGUGCGCAUGAGUAUCCACAGUAGAAAUAAUCUGAGCAAUAAACAACUCAAAUUAAUUUUGUUGUAGAUACACAAUUGAAGCGCAUGGCAAAAUUAUACGCAGAGAUUUUCUACACGCGGAGAAAUAAAAACAUACUUAAUUUGUCAUUGAGCAAAAACUUUGUAUAUUUUUCUCAAUCUUGCUACCAACCAGUUCGGCUUAUCCAAACCAACAAAAUAAUAAAAAAGAAAAAGGUAAAGGCGAAAAAAAAAAAACAAAAAAACAAAAAACAAAAAAACAAGAAAGGGCAAAAUUGUAUAAAGACCCCUCAAAUCCAUUGCAUUUGGAAACAAACGCCCUAGACCUUCCUUUUUUUUAUUUUUAUUGAAAAUAUUCUAGCCAUUUAAGUUAAAAAUUGUAUUGAAUUUAAUGGCAGAGUUAGCCAUGACCAGUAAAUUAAUCCAAUUUUAAUUCUUUCCAAAGUGACUAAAACUAUAAUAUUUAAUAAUUUUUUUUAACUGAAAAUUACUUGAGCAAAUAGCUCAAGACAUUCUUUGAAAAUAGAGUACAGUCGAGGGGUCCUCCAUACAUUUUUUUCCAAUAGAGACCAAGAAAAAAAAGAAGGUAAAUAUAUAGGUCUGAUUCUAAAUUUUACUGCUUAAUUUUUAAAAUUUAUAUAAAUUUUAGUCACUCAAGAAUAAUUUAACUUUAAAUAAAAAGUAUAUAAAAUAUAUGAAGCAUACAAUAUUUGAGUAAAAAUAAUGUCAAUUCACUAAAAUCUAAUAAGUAAAUUGAAAUAUUAAUUAGUCAAAUUAAAAAGAAAAAUUAUAAGGUUAGAUAAUGUAUAGCCGGGAUUCAAAAUAGUUCGUAGUUCAGAUAUAAAGGGUGGGUGCGUGGUGGAGGACUGCGUAACUCACCCCGCAGCCGGUGUCGAGAGCGGUGCGGACGGCGCCGGAGCGGAGGGCGGGGGCGAGGCGCUGCAUGUCGUCGAUGUAGGCGUCGGCGCCGUUGGGGAACAUGGUGCCGCCGCCGGGGAAGCGGAACUUGUCGCCGUCGACGCGGAUCCAGUUCUGCACGGCCUUCUCGACGGUGAGCUCCUUGUGCGGCACGUUGGCGAACCACGCCGCGCCGCGGCUCUCGGGCCACGGGGGCGGGCUCCGGUAUCCGGGCGGCGCCGGGACCAGGCACUUGAGCUGCUCGCCCUUCUCCGGGCAAUGCCGCUCCCUGUACACCAGCCGCUCCCUCUCGAACCGCAGCGACCGGUCCCGAUCCUCGCACGGCGUGUACUCCGCGAACUUCGCGUCGCACGCCGGGAACCCCCGCCGCCCCCUCCGCCCUUCCUCCACCGCCAACCCCUCCUCCUCCGCCGCCGCCGAGUGGUGCGCCGCGAAGUCCAGCGCCGUCGCCGUCGCCGGAGCGGCGCCGGCGCCGGCGGCGCGGCGAUCGCAGGGGACGGCGGUGAGCACGACGGCGGCGCCGCCGGGGCCGGCGCCGGCGUGCUGCCAGACGCCGAGGAAGUAGGAGGCGGAGCAGAGGAAGGCGACGAAGGCGACGGAGAGGACGUUCGUGCGCUUCAGGUAACUCUGGUAGAGCUUGCACGCGCCGCCGCCGCCGCCGAAGGGCGUAGAAGCCCCCGCCAUGGCCGAUUAAUUAGGGAGGAGAGAAAGAGAGAGGGAGAGAACGCGAUGAGGGCUCAGGUUUGGGGGGGGAUUUGGGGGAGGAGGACGAUGAGUCGGUAUAUAUUACUAAUUUAAUUAGGUAUAAAAUAAAUGAAUAAAUAAAUAGAUAGAUAUAAAUUGGGCAAAUUAAGGAGGAGGGGGGGAGGGGUGGUGAUGUAUAGAAGGAAAGAGAAGCGUAUGGUUUUGAUAUGAUAUUAUUAUUGGGAGUAGAAAUAGAAAAUUACAUGAGGGGGGUGGGGUUUUGGUCCUUUUGGAUGCAUCUGUGAUGGUGGGGACUGGGGACGGGUAUUCAAUUAAAUUAAAUUGCAUUGAGAUGUAUCAACAUUUAAUUAAAUUGAAAUGUGUGUUAGACUUUGAUUGUGACAAUUCUAAAAAUUCGGUCAAAAAAUUAUGACAAAAGAGAGUUUAAGGACUAAACCUGCAAUUUACCCUUUUCACACUACUCCAAAUUUACUUUGCUCAUUUAAUUUCCGCAUUAAUUUAAAAAGUUUUAUUAUAGUCGGUUUGCAAAUUUAUCCGUUUGAGGGUAAACUAUUACCUACGCCUAAUAAAUAAUAUUUUAUAACAAAACUAUAUAAUUUUAUAUAAUAUAAAAUAUUUAAUUAAAUAUUAUAAAUUUCAUAUAAAAUAUUAGUUGUAAUUUAAAAAAAAAAAAAUUUUAUCCAGGGGCCAAAGUGUAAGUUUUGUGUCAGGUACUGUGUUUCAACUUUCAAGUGGGAACAAAGAGGCAGGGCCGUUGGUGGCCGUUUUGGCUUUUUGCUCCCCCGAUUACCUAACUCUACCGGGAGAAACUUGGGGAGUGCAUACACAACUAGUCCCCAAACUUUAUCUCAUAGUUUUUUUUUAUUAAGUUCUCAAAAUUUUAAUUUUGAUAUAGAUAAAAUUAUAUAAUGUUGAACUGACAUACUAUUAGUAGUAAACAAACUUUAUUGUCAUUCAUUUAUUUUCAAUAAUAGAGCCUCUAAAUCGACGAUUAGCACUGUUGAACAUAAUGUAUACCACUUGAAAUAUUUACAAAUCAAAUUUUAUAUUUUUUCGCUAUUAUUCUCUUGUUCAUCAAGUGGACACAAAAUGAACGGCUGAAAAUUUAUAUUCUUUAAAAAGUGGUGACAGUAGUCUUGUAAUCAAAUUCAAGAGUAUAAUCUUGUUCUAAAUAGUUUUAAAAAAAAUUUAACCAAAAUUCAAUCGAUUUGCAUAUCUUUACAUCGUUAAACGAGAAGACGUCUUAUAUCGACCAGUAAAAUUAUAAAUUUUGAAACUCUUUGAUCAUUAGGUCAAUAAUAUUAAAAAGAUUUGAAAUUUGGUUUUUAGAUACUUUAGGCAGUAUAGAUCAUGUUCAAUAAUGUCGAUCAUCGAUUUGGAAGUUCCAUCAUCAAAAAUAAAGUGGCAACGGAGUCCAUUUACUACUGAUAGUAUUCCAGUUCAAUUCAAAUUAUAUAUAUAUAUAAUAUAUUAAAUAUAUAAUAUAUAAUAAAUAUAUAUUAGCUGGGGCUAUAUACCAUAUGAAAUAUAAGCCCUGUACCAAAGUUUCGAUUCGUUCAAUAAAAGAUGUACGUUAAGGAAGAAAGGGUUACGUUAGAUGAUAGUGGCCCCUUCAGGUGAGGUUUGGAAAUUAGCUAUAAUCUAACGGGUGAAAAAAUUAAAGGAUAGAUUAACUCCAAAAACUUAUGAUAUAAGGCUAUAUUUCAUAAAUAUACGCACCGACUCUAUAUGUAUAUAUACUGAUAUAGAAUACUUAAAAAGUAUUCGACCCCUUGUGCUGUAUAGUUCUAGCCCUUUGUAUCUACUCCUUAAUUACUAAUACCCUUGACUCAAACACUUUCCACCAUACCACACACACUACCACACCAUACAACACCAUCAUCUCAACCAACAUUCUCCAUCCAAGGGUUAAAAACCAAAGCAAACAAACUAUCUUCCAUACUUUGAGAGUAUUCUAUUCCUCUCUUCUCUCAUCCUCUCUGUAUAUAUAUAUAUAUAAUAUAUUUAUAUAAUUAUAUAUAUAGAUAUAUUAUAAUAAUUGACUAGAAACUUUAGAAAUACAGAACCCCAAGGUUUCUAAGUUCUACCCUUGAUCUACUCUUAUACUAAUAGCCUUAAAUAAACACCAUUCCACCUACACCACCUACCACCGUCAUCUCAACCCAACAUCUCUUCAUCCAUAAACAAAACUCAAAAACACCACCUUCAUCGAUCUUUGAGAGAUUCUAUGCUCACUAUAUAUACUAUAUAAAUAUAUAUCAUAUAUAAUAUAUCUAUAUUAUAUAAUAUAUAUAUAUUAUAUAUAUAUUAUAUUAUAUUAUAUAAAUAAAUAUUAGAGAGAGAAAGAGAGAAGAGAGAGAGAGGUGAUGGGUGAUGCUUCUGGAACACGAGCCCUCCGUGCUUCAAGUUGUUUCGAUUUCAUUUCAAUCGACGAUCGGCCUCGUUAUAGUUUAUCAGAGUAUUGAACCUAGUAAAAUAAAUUUUGUGAUUAUUUCAAAAUAACGUCAUUUUGCGCUAUAUCAAGGCGCUACAAUCAAUAAUUUAAUGCGCGUAAUUGAGCCUUUGGCAGUUUAACGCGUUAGAAAUACGCAAAAUCACAUGAAAUUUUGAUAGAAAAUCUUAAUUAUAUGCCAAUAAAACAAGAUCAAUAACUUCUGAUCUAACUUUAAUGUCAUACGUCAUCAUUUUUUGUAAAUUAUUUAUUUUCAGCACGAUUGAUAUUGAGCGUACUUUAUCACUAGCAAUAUAAUACGAAAAAUCCGCAAAAUUUAUUUCUAGAACUUCAAAUACCAGAUCAAUCUAACGAGACCGAUUGCCGAUUCAAAAAUCUGAAACAUCGUAAAACAACUGACACAGGCUCCGUGCUUCCAGAACAUACAGACGCACUCUAUAAAUAUAUAUAAUAAUAUAAGUAUAAUAUAAUAUAUAUAUAGAGAACGAGAGAGAGAGAAGAGACGAGAGAGAGAGAUAGAGAGAAGAGAGAGAAGUUAGUCUAGAAUCCUAUCGAUAGCAAAUGGGUUCCCGUUGCCACCCAUUUGUUUUCGAUAUAAAGCCUCCAAAAUUCGACGAUCGAUGCACUCGUUUAAACAUAUCUAUAAACUGAAGUGUUUACAAUCAAAUUAAAUCUUCGACCAUUUGCCAUAAUGACAAGGGUUUAAAAUUGUAAUUUAAUGUCGAAUGAAGAAUUUCUCGUUAACGGCUGUUAAAGAUAUCAAAAUCAAUUGAAUUUUGUUAGAAAAUUCUUAAACUAUUUAAAACCAGACUAUAUCUGAUCUUGAUUACAAGACUCCUAUCAUACAUUUUUAAAGAAAUCAUUUCAUGUUCAUUUGGUCCACUUUAUGAUAGAGAACAAUAUGAAAUGUAUAAAAUUAUUUCUAAACAUUUUUAAUACGUAUACGAUCAUGUAAACUACCCGUAUCGCAUUAAGAGGCUGACCAUCAUCGAAAACCAAAAAUAAAAGCGGUGACAACGAGCCCGUUUGCUUGUCGAAGCAUCUAGCUCUACACUCUAAUAAUAUAUAUAUAUAUAAUAUAAUAUAUAUAUAAUAAUAUAUAUAUAUAUAUAAUANNNNNNNNNNNNNNNNNNNNNNNNNAUAUAUAUAUAUAUAUAUAGUUAGGCUGGUAUACUAUCGGUAGCACGGAGACUUCCGUAUUACCAAGUUGUUUUCAAUGAUGCGGCUUCCAAAUCGACGAUCGGCUCCGUUAGACUUGAUCAACACUAUUGAAAGUAUUUGGAAACUAAAUUUCAUAAUUUUUCGGCAUCAUUUACCUAUCAAACGAGUAGUCUAAAAAUGAAUGGCUGAAAAUAAAAAAUCUCAUAAAAAAUAAUGAUAAAAGACUUGAAUUUAAGAUCAGAAGUACUGAUCUCACUCUAAAUAGUGAAAAGAAUUUUCUAUAAAAAAUUCAUUAGAUUUGGAUUGUUUUACACCGUUAAAUUCACAAACCCAUCACAUAUACCAUUAAAAUUGUCAAUUUUGAGACCUUUUGAUCACUAACCAAAUGAUGUCGAAAAUUUAUGAAAUUUAGUUUCCAAAUACUUUUGAUAGUGUAGAUCAAGUCUAACGGAGCCGAUCAUCGAUUUGGAAGCCGCAUCAUUGAAAAUUACCAGCCUAGCUCUAUAUGUAUAUAUUUAUAUAGAGUUGAGAAUGCUUUUAGAAGCACCAAACCCUUAGUGCUUCUAGGUUUCUAACCCUUGGAUCUACUCCUUGAUUACUAAUAGCCCUUGGAUUAAAUAUUAGAGUAAAUUGCAUUGUUGCCCCCUGAACUUUUGGAGUUUCACUUUAUCCCUCGAACUUCUAAAAUGGACAUCUAACCCCUUAAACUCUAAUAUUUUGUUCAUGUUAUCCCUUCCGUCAGUUUUCCGUCAAACUCCGUUAACCGGAAACUGACGGAAGGGAUAAAAUGAAUGAAAUAUUAGAGUUUAGGAUGUUAGAUAUCUAUUUUAGGAGUUUGGGAGAUUAAGUGAAACUCGACAAAAGUUCAGGAGAAAGCAGUGCAAUUUACUCCGUAGGGGACUCUUGACUAUAACUUAUUUUAUUAUAAUAUGUUACUUAUGGAUUGACUAUUAAUCCUCAAGUUAGUGAUCAUACUUGAUUUUUAAUUUAUAUAUAUUUUUUAUCCUAAAAUAAAUCAUACCAUAAUUUAUCCUAUAUUUUAUUGUAAUAAAAUAAAAGUGAAAGAAAUGAAUUAGAGUGGCUUAAAGAUAAAAAAAGAGCGAUACUAACUACCUAUGAUGCUCGAACACUCCACUAUCUCGGUGUACUCGCUAAUAUGGUUGGUUUACAAUAAGUGUCCUCACUCGGAUAUAAAGAUUUUAAUUCUCAGUUAAUUUUCUGUAGUACUCGUUUGUCCCUUUUAUCUUUAGAAGUAUUGUUCUAUAAAAUACACUUAAAUAAAAUUUUUGUACUUCAUCUCAGCCAAUUAGAAAUUUUUAAUAUAAAAAUAUAAAAAUAAUUUAUAGUAAAAAUUUGGGUAAAUUGUAUUGUUACCUUCUGAACUUUUGGCGAGUUUCACUUAACCCCCUAGACUCCUAAAAUAGACAUCUAACACCAUAAACUCUAAUAUUUCAUUCGUUUUAUCCCUUCCGUCAGUUUCCGAUUAACGGAGCUUGACGAAAAACUGACGGAAGGGGUAACAUGAACGAAAUAUUAGAGUUUAGGGGGGUUAGAUGUCUAAUUUAGAAGUUCGAGGGGUAAAGUGAAACUUCGCCAAAAGUUUAGGGGGUAACAAUGCAAUUUAUCCUUAAAUAUUAUUCCACCUACCACCACCUACCACCAUAAUCCUAACUUUACAUCUCUCCAUCCAAUGGCUAAAAACUCAAAAGCACCACCGUCUUGGUGCUUUUGAGAGUAUUAUAGCUCAACUCUCUCUCUCUCUCUCUCUCUCUCUCUCUCUCUAUAUAUCUAUAUAUAUAUAUAUAUAUAUAGAGCAGGACUACUGUGCUAUUAGGAGCACAGUAGCCUUUGUGCUCCUAACUUUUUAACCACCCAUCAAAUUUGAUGGGUGGUUAGAAUGAGAGAGGGAUGAGAUAUUGAGAAAAAAUUGAGUGUCUCAAUAUCUCUUCUUCUUAAAUUUUUCUCCAAUAUUUCAUCUCUCUCUCAUUCUAACCACCCAUCAAACUUGAUGGGUGGUUAGAAAGUUAGGAGCAUAAGGGCUGCUGUGCUCCUAAUAACACAGUAGCCCUACUCUCUCUCUCUCUCUCUAUAUAUAUAUGAAUAUAUGAGGGAUGUGACACUUUGAUCUCUAAACUUUCAUUUGUUAUAAUUUUUGGUUUGAACUUUUCGAAUUGUUGCAAUCAAAUUUUACAAUCAAAAUUAAUCGGCUAAAUAUUAACAACUUGUUGAUAUAGAAGUAGCGGAAUAUUCUAAUUAUUAUUGCAUCAUCGAACACAAUAUUUUUAUAUCACUUCUGUAUCAAAAAUUUAUCAAUAUUUAACAAACUAAAUUAGGUUGCUGGACUUGAUUUUAAUAAUUUAGAAAAAUCAAGUUAGAAAGUAUAGUAAAAUUAAAAUUUAAGCACCGAAAUGUCGCGUGCCUCAUAAUUUAAGGACCAAAGGAGUAAGUUACACUUUCGACAUUCAAAAUUCUGAACUUUAAACAAGAUUUCGAUUCAGUCUCUAAACUUUAAGUAGUGCAGAGUAAAUAUCCUUGCAUGAACUUGGUGGUGCAAUUUACUCGUAAUCUUGAAACAAUAACCUAGGCCUCAUUUGGGAUUGUUAUUAUUUUUCAUUCAUUUAAUGUAAAAUUUAUAUAUAAAAUAAUGCAUAAGGGGAUAAUAGAUUAUUUACAAUUUUUAUGUCCAACAUGUUUAUUUGCCAGUGUAACAUAAAAAAGCUUCAAAGCAACUUUUACUACUUUCAAAAUAUCUUUUUAAAAGAUAGACAUUUGUUACUUAGUAUGAGUGUGCAUGACAAACUAACCGAUCAUAAUAAUAAUAAUAAUAAAUUCUUUCGCUAGUAUAUUAGAUUAUACACAAGUUUUGUUUAAAAAAUAAAAUAAUAACAAUAAUGUGUAAUGAGACCUUAGUGUUAUAAAAAUUUUAAAAUUUAAAAAUACUUAUAAUAUUUUUUUUUAAAAGGGUUUGCAUGCAACGUUUAUGAGUAGCCCAUAAUGCGUCAAAUUUCGGAUUGGGAGCAUUUUUUUUUUAAAUUUUUUUUUAGUUUGCUGGCAGGUCCUGCUUGCCAGGUACCCUAAAAUAGUCAUAACGAUUUUUGUAAUGUGGAUACUGACAAAUUAUAGUAGACAGUUGAUUGGACCGUCUAUCUGUUGAAUAGAUUGUUGAUUGGCUGGUUUUCAGAGAGGUUAUUAAUUUUAGGACUGUUUUAAUUCUAACACACUUAAUUUUUUUUUUAUCUUCUAAUGCUAAUCACUAUUGAAAAUAUUAUAGUCUAUUUUAACCAAUCUUAUGGGAGCAUCGCUCCACGUACAAUGAUCAUUAGUCGGCAGUCACGCUCUAUCCGUUGUAUAACUCUAAGGUAUCGUUUGGUUCGGGUAUAUGCAAGAACUAGCUAUUACAGAGAUAGGUACAAAUAUGGGGAUAAGAAAAUUAGUGUUUGGAUGAAAAUUGGGUUGUUCCCAGGAAUAAGAACAAUUUUAGAUAGUUUUAUAUAGAAAAUGGUGGUGAUGAUGGGGAUAAUCGAGAACUACCAUUCUCGGAUAAAAAAUUAGUGUUUGGAUAUAAAAGGGAUAAGGGUCUAUUCUUAUCCCUAUCCUCUAACCAAACGCUGCCUAAAUCAACUAAGAAUAUUCAUCUUAUGUUUUCGCCUAGUAAUUGAUUCUGAUAUCUAAUUGUAAUGUCCGGCUUCUUAGGAGGAUCACUUAUUAUAAAACUAUUUUAGUCCUAACACACUUAAUGUUCUUAACCUUUUGAAUAUAUUCGCCAUUCAAAAUAUUAUAAUCAGAUUAAAAGAUUAUUAUUCUAUUAUACUUUAUGUGCACAAAAAUAUUUCAAAUUCCGAGAUGUCGCAAAAACUGGCAUACAACUUUUAGUGAACAAACCGAUUGUUCCUAGCGCAAGUGACAAAGGACUUGAUAAUUAGUACUCGAGGUCCCAAGUUCGAAUCAUAGUUGAUUCACAUUUCCAACUAAGUUUAUUUUUAGAAAAAUUAAGCGAAGCGGAUAGCAUGCCACAUUUCUCUCAAAAAAAAGUGCGGAUAAUGACGUACUUAAACCAAGAACUGGAUCUGCGUACGUACACUGAAACGGGACUAGAAAUAUAUAUACUAACAAUAAUCACAGGCCAGAGUACUCCUAUGUUUCUCACCCAAGUUCGUGGAAACAAUUUGGAUCAGGAAUAGCCCUAAGAAUCCACCUCAACUCAUCACAUACUCAUUAUUUUUAGCGCAGUUUAUUAAAAAUUUAAUAAUUGAUACCUAAAGUUUUAAGUGUAAAGUUCAGUUGCUUUAUAUUUUUAGCUGGAACUUUUUUUUUAUUUUUUAUAGAAAGAUAACAUAUUAUUUGCGCUAGAGAUGAUCGAUACUGAAUUUAUUAUUUUUUAAAAAAUGAGUGAAUAUAACAUACUUUCUUUCUCUCUCACAAAUGAAAAUAUAGAUAAAACAAAACAGCUGUAGAAACAUAUUCAUAAGGGGAUUUAAAUUCUAAUUAUGUAUAGAAAUUUUUAACCGGGAUUUAAAUUUUGAUUACGUAAAUCGGAUAUUUUCAAACGUAUGAAAAGUAUAUAGGUAAUUAUCCCUUAUUUUUAUUAUUUGGAAUGAUAUUAUAAUAUCUCUCACUUAUUACAUAUUUAAUUGUCAAUUAAGGUAAUAAAAUGAGAGUAAUUUCUCGCUUCGGUUACAGUGCGUAGCCAAAAAGAGUUACUUUCACGUUCAUUUAAGUAAUGUCUUUUUUUUCCUUCUUAUUAUUAUUAUUUUUUUAAUUUUUAAAGAGAUCACGUGCUUGGCACGUUUGAACUGAGUGACCCUUUAUUUCCUCACGUGAGAUAGGAAUUUAUGUUGAAUUGUAUUCUUGAAUAGGUAAUUAAUUUUUUUGUAGCAUUAUUUUGGGAGAGUAAUUUAGUUGAUUUUGCUUUGAGUAGAGAUGUCAACGGGUCGGAUUCGGGACGGAUUUUUAAAAAUCCGAAUCCGAACCCAACUCCAAACCCGAGAUCCGAAUCCGAACCCGAACCCGACGGAUUUUAAAAAUCCAUAUCCAAACCCGAACCGAACCAAAAAUCCGAAACCUAAACCCGAACUCGAACCCGAAAAUUUGAACCCGAAACUAUUAUUUUUUUUUUCAAUAUUUCAAAAUAUAUUAUAUUAAAUCUAAAUUUUUAAAAUACAAAUUCAAAUAUAACAUCAAAUUUUUAUAUAUAUAUAUAUAUAUUAUAUAAUACAAAAUAAAUUCGGGUUCUGGUCGGGUUCAGGUUCGGGUCGGGUACAAUCAAAAUCCAUAUCCGAAUCUAUAUUCGUCGGGUUUCUAUUUUUGAUAUCCAUAUCCGAAUCCAUAUCUAUAUCCAUCGGAUAUAUCCGUUUCAUUCGGGUUCGAAUUCGGAUAAAAUUUCAACUAUCCAUACCCAUUGACAUCCCUAGCUUUGAGGGUCCUUAAACUAAGCCACAUAACAUUCUUAAAAUUUUGCUUAAGAUUUUAAUGUAACGUUUUUAAACAGAGUAUUGAAAAGGUAAAAUAAGUCCGAGACCCCUAAUCAAUUAUACCACUUCUUGAAAUUCACUUUUUUUUUUUUUUCCUUUACUUUACACACGAUACUAAAAAUAUAUUUUGAUCCCCAAACUUUGAAAUGGAUGAUAUUUUGAUCCUCAAAUUUUUUUUAUAUUAUAAUUUUUAGUUUGAACUUUUUAAUUUUUUUUUUUUUUUAGAGAGAAAGAUAGCAUGCUACCCGCUUCGUUUAUUUCAUUUAGAAAUAAACAUAGCUGAAAAUGUGAAUCAACUAAGAUUCGAACUUGGGUCUCGGGUACCAACCAGCAAGUCCUUUGCCACUUGCUCUAGGGACGGUCUGUGAAAUUUUUAAAUUCUUGUAAUCAAGUUCUAUAGUACAAUUUUAUUAGCUAAAUAAUAAUGUAUUACUGAUAUGACAAUAAUGUCGCACUUUAGUCAUUCCACAUAAUCAACUGCAAUACUGACACACUAAUAUUAUAUCAGCGAUACAUCAUUAUCUGGCCAAAUAAAUUGUACUGUGAAACUCAAUUGUAUCAAUCUAAAAAGACCGAAUAAAAAGUGGUUUGAAAAUUAAAAUUUGAGGAAUAAAUUUGAGGAAUAAAACGUCAGGCUGGACAUAGUUAGAGGACAAAAGGUGCAAUUUAGCCUAAAUAAUUUUAACAAUAUAUCUCUAUUAUAUAAUUAAAAAUAGUAACUUACAGUAUUUGAUUUUCAGGAUUUAAAUUUUUUUUGGUUCCAUUGUAAUAAAACAGCUAAUUCUUUUCGUACAAAACAUUAAUUGUUCUAGAGCAUGUUAUUGUUGACAUUAGACUUUUGUGAAACGACUUUUUAAUCUUUCAAUUUUGACAACUAGACUUUCCAAAUUGAUGUGGCCAAUUUAGUAUUAGAGUUUCUGAAAAAGUAUGACUCAUUCAAACUGGAUCGAAAAUCUGGCUAAAUUCAACAAUUUUUAUAAUUAGCGUAAAAAUUUUUAAACGAUCAAACUUUUCACUCGAAUGUUCAUUUUCAGCAUAUAAUCUCAAUUCGAAAAAUAUUUUUUCAAGAUCUACACGUUGGACGAUAAAACUAUUCUGGCCAAAUUUGGGACCCAAAUUCAACUAUUUAAGGGCUCUAUUGUUUGCAUUUUUUAAUUAUUUUCAAAAUGUUUUUAUUUUUUGUAUUUUGAGUUCUAUUUUUUGGUUAUUUGAAAGGUUUAGGUUUGAAAACAUAUUAGAAUUUAUUAUCUUCAAUUUCAAUAAGAUUCGGGCAUCGAUUAAUGUAAUUACUUUUUAGAAUUAAUUAAUAAUAUUUUUCAUCUUUGUUGUAAAAUUGUGUUUUUUGUGUACCUCUCUAUCUACCCCUGUGCUUCUUUUUUCUCAACGCAACUCUUAGGCUCGCAUCACAAAUUUAUCAAAUAGUUAAUUGGCUCUUUUUUUUUUGUUAAAUUAUUAAUUAAACAGCCAACCCCUUCAAAACACAAAAAAAAUAGAAAAUCUUUUUAUGGAUUAAAAGGAGAACAAAAUGUUUUUAAAAAAAUUAAUGUUGAUUUUGACAACGAUCUUUAUUAUCUUUUUCAAAAAUUAGAGUAGGAAAGAAACAUUUUAAUGUAUUGAAGUUUUGCGGGAUCACAUGCAAAAUAUUUGUCAAGAAUAUAAGUGUUUAGCUAAUAAGUUUGCUUAACAAGAGGAUCCAUAAAACUAUUUAAUAAAAUUUAAGAAUCUAAUUAUCAAAUUUAAAAGUUCUAAUGCCUACUUGCAAAAUUGCAAAAGUGCAGAAUUUUUAUUUUUAUUAUUAUUUUACAUUUUUGUCUUUUUAGUAACAAAUUGUAAAUGUAGAAAUAUAUAGAACUCAUGUGAACUACAUGAUCAAACUCUCUAUGAGAUUCAUAGUUGUAUUACUUAUACCUUACUUAUUUAUAGAUAAAGCUGAUUCGGAAUCGUCUUUCAUUCCAAGGCAUAUUUAUUUAUAUCCUUACGCCCUAGUCUCGUUGGCAAGGUUCUGAUCCCUAACUUUUUUUAUCCUAAUUACGUAGUUAAAGAAUCCAAAAUAGUAGUCUAAUUAGAGAUAAAGAGAUUGGUCUCUAAUGCAGGGUUCGAUUCCCUGUCUAUCCAAAGUUCGAAAACGGAAACUACGAACCUGCUUACUUAAUUCCGUUUGGUAAAGAGCUGCUCCGUUUUGACUCAUCUACUAAAUUCUUUAAAAUUUUAAUUUUGUUAUUCAACAUUUCAAUUUGUUUGAUUUAUAUUGUUUGAUGCUUUUUUCGUUAUAAAAUUUAUAUUUGCUUAUUUUAAUAAAUCUAUAAUUAUACAAAUGGCAUAAAAUAGCAGUUGUGAUAUUAUUAAUUUUUAAAGGGUAUUAAUAAAAUUAAUGGUCCCUAGAAGGGCAUCAAUGGAAUUAUACACAACUCAUUGGUUUUUUUUUUUUUUUGGUCAGUGGGACCCAUUGAGUGAGCUGUACUUGUCGGUGUCCUGUCGAGGCCGUUACUGGUGCAAAAUCCAAAGCAGGGUUUCUUCUCAGAAGAGUCAACGCAGUUGCAUUAGUCCCGUAAUUUUGAACAACCCCAGGGGCAAUUUUGUCAUCUCACAUGCAAUCAUUAUUUUUUAAAAUCAUAUNUAACAGUAUAAUAUAAGAGGGGUAAAAAUUUUUCUAAUGAAAUUUAAUGACAGAAACAUAUUUGAAAAUAUCGAAAUUUCUACAAAGAUAAAACUUUAUAAGAAUAUAUUUGUCAUUUAUUUUAUUUAUAAGAUUCUGUAUAAAAUUAACCCUAUGUUUGAUCGGGCCUAUCACUUCGUGUUGUAGGCGUCCGAGGGUGGGAAUUAAAUGAUGUUGAGGCACUUUCGAGGGUGAAUUCAUCGUUAGCGUUACGAUUUCGCUUCCACUAACAUUAUUAUUAUUUUAUUAUAAUAAUAAAUAAUAAUAAUAAGCAUUAUUAAUUUAUUAUUUUGAGAUUAAAUCUAUGAGAACUAUCCGAUCGAAGGUCACUGAAAAUUUCACGGUCAAAUACGGAGAACCAUGCACGCCGCAUUUAUAGCUUCAGGAGAGAGUAUUAAAGAUCACUGAGAUUUUCAUGCUAAAAUAAAAUGCAGAAUAAAUUAAUUUUUAUUCUAUUUCUAAUUUAGAUUAAUUUUGUACAUAUGUUUGAAAAUAUAGUGCAUUACUAUAAAUAUAUCUCUAUAAAGUUCAACUUCUAUAUGUUGUUCAUGUAAAAGUUUUAAUAUUUUUAAAGAUGUCCCUCUGAUUUGUUACGGUUAAAGCACUGUUUAUUUUGUAAGCGAAAUAACCUUUUUGCUAUCAUAAAUAUGUCACUCCAAAAAUUUUAACUGUUAAUUGAAGAAGGGUAAAAAAAUCAAUUAACUAACGAUAGGGAUAUAUUUAAAAAUAUCAAGACUUUUACAGUAUUAUAUUUGCAAUUCACUAUAUUUACAGGAACCUAUAUAAUGUUAAUAUUUAUAAUUUUUGUUUACUAUUUUACUUAGGAUAUAUCAGAGUGGCGGGACAGAUUUUUGACGAGCCGAGACGAUUAAGAAAGGUUAAUCCUAUUCAGAGCAGAUCGGGACUGCAGCUCGAUCAAUCCAGAUACACUUGCACCUGUACAAUCAACUUUUAAAUGGUAUUCACUUAAUCACACUAGUGUAGCCACAUUGGUAAGAUAUUAAGAUACUACGUAUGUUGCUGAAUUUGAUCAGAUUCAAUUAUCUCGAUGCCUGAUUAAUUAGCAGGAAAUUUUAAUUUCUCUACUUUGUUACCUUGUAAAUCUUAAAUGCUUGCUCCAUCAUGCAUGUGGUGGACCCUAAUAUAAUUCAAUUUAGGAUCAAAAAAUCAACAACUUGCCCUUUCAGUAGCAUUAUAUUAAACUCCCACAACUAAUAAUCCAACCUAAAGGUGCACAUGGUCUGGUCCACUUCUUGAUGUGGAUGGAUACCUAUGAACUUGGAUACACUAGUAUUGUUUCUAUAAAUAAUUGCUUUAACCAUUGUGCACCAAAUCACCGUAGCAGUUUUUGUUUGCUUACUUCUGACUGUUAUUCAAAAUUUUUGAGUUUAUUCUAAAUUCGUCAAAAUAUCCUUCUAAGCCCUAACUCUCAUUAGUAGAUCUUAGGGGCUUGGAGAUCUUUAAAAAAACUUUUAAAAAUCAAUAAGAAAUUAGAAAUAGAUUAGAUAUUUUUUGAAAUAUGAGAGAGUGUAUUAGAUAGUAUUUUGAGUAAACUUCAAAUAUUCCCCUUGUGGUUUCACACUUUCUUAUUUUAGUACCAUAUAGUUUAAAGUGUAUCAAUUUAGCCCCUGUGGUUUCACACUUUCUCACUUUAGUUCAGUGCGGUUUAAAGUGCAUAAAUUUAGUACCAUGUGGUUUCAUUUUUUUUCUUUUCGUCGGCUCUUCUUUUAAUAUUUCGUUAAAUUAUAUACAGAAAACUUCAUAUACCCUAUCUAGGUUUAUCGAAUAUUUACUUUAAUACCUUUUAGUUUUAACUUUGUCACUGAUUUAUUUUUUUCUUCGUUAAUAUUUCGUUAAAUUAUAUACAAAAAAACUUCAAAUACCCUACCUAGGUUUAUCGAAUGUUCACUUUAGUACCUUUUAAUUUUAACUUUGUCACUGAUUUAACGAAAAAAAUUAGUGAAAUGGAUAAUAAAAAGAGAAAAAUGAAACCACAGGAUAGUAACUUGAUACACUUUUAAAUAACAGGAUACUAAAGUGAGAAAGUGCGAAACCUCAGAGGCUCACUUGAUACACUUUAAACCACAAGAUACUAAAGUGAAAAAGUAUGAAAGUAUAAGGGGGUAUUUGAAAUUUAUGCUAGAUAUUAUUUUAUUACCAUACGCUUCAUGUGAAUAAAGUCAAAGUAGCUUUUGGAUGGUUGCAAAAGUUGGACAAGGGGAAGAAAAGUUUCCUUUCCAUUCUCUCUGGCUGCUAUAAUUAUUAUUCUAUCCAUAAAUCAAAUAUCUGUCCUCAGAAAUUAUAAUUGUCUCUCAAUUAAAAUGCUCCAUGUCAGUGAGUACAAAAUUACUCAUUCCAUAAAUUAAAGAAAAAUAAAAAUACAAGAAAUUUAUCUAAAGGGUUAAUUACAUUCAUGUUCCCGUAAAUAUAGUGAAUUAUAAAUAUCUUUCUGUAAAGUUCAACUUUUAUAAGUUAUUUCUGUAAAAGUCCUAAUAUUUUCAGAUAUAUUCCUCUGGUUUGUUACCGUUAGAGAACCGUUAGAAAACUGUUUAUAUUUUCAAUUUUUCCAUCAUAAAUAUGUCCCUCCAAAAGUUAUAACAGUAUAAUAUAAGAAGAGUAAAAAUGUCAAAAAUUAAUCCGGAUAAAGUAUUUAAUCUAUGAUUAACUAAACUUUUCUAACGAAUUCUAACGGCAGAGACAUAUCUGAAAACAUUAGAAUUUUUGCAAGGAUAACGUAUGAAAGUUGAACUUUACAGAAAUAUAUCUGCAAUUCACUAUAAUCUUUUAACAUUUUGAUUUUACCAUCUAACUUUUUAAUUUGUUUGAUUUGAGUCCAUCUAUUCACUUUGACUUAAAAAAGUAAACAUGUCGUUUGUUUUUACAGAUUUAGUUAUAAUAUUCCAUACAAUUUUAGCAACUACACAUUGUUUAAAAUUUAAAGUCAAAAGUAUCUUCGACUGACUCAAAAAAAUAAACUGAAAAGUUGGAUAAAAAAAUUAAAAUUUUAGAAGAUUGAAUAGCCGAUUUAAAAUUAUCUAUAACUCAAAUAAGUUCUGUACGAUUUUUACUAUAAACAAAAUGGGUAAUUUCACUGGUACCCUUCAAAGGUUGAAAAUUGUAAAUGCCCUCAUAAAAUAAGUAAUAUCAUGAUUACCGUUCUAAAUAUAUACAUUCUUUCAAAUCUACCUUAUAAACUCCAUUAAAAAUUGUGAUUUUCACAUUGGAUUAAAAAUUAAAUUAUUGAUUUUGCCCUUGACCCUUGAAAGGUCCCUAACUAUAUAAACCCCCUCAACUAUAGGAUAUUUGAAGAAGGUCCCUAUUUUUUUUUUUUCUAUAUAAAGACCCAAUCAGUUUUCAUUUAUUAAAAAAAAUUUAUAAAUUAAAUUAAAUAUUUUGUUCAAAAUUAAGACACUCCACUAGCAACCAACUAGUAAAUCUACAAUAUUUAAUUUUUUAUCCAACGAAAUUUGCAAAUAAAGAUAAAUUUGAAAGAAUGUUGAUAUAUUAAGAAGGGGAAUCAUAAUAUUACAGAUUUUGUGAGAGCAUGCAUUCAUUAUAUUUUCAAUCUUUUGGAGGGUAUUGGUGAAAUUAUCCCUGAAAUAAAUGAAAUGAGGGACUAGUUGUAGGUAAUAAAUAAUUUCAUCAUAAAUAAGGUCAACAUCACCAAACCAAACUUGUGCCUACCCAUUCCCAGCUAAAGCCUUUUACAGUUUAGAAUUAAUGAUAGAGAUCACAGGUUCUAACUAAUUUUUAUGGCCCAUUUCUCCUUUGAGUUACUCUAAUUGGUAACUAGGUACACCACACUAAAACAAAUUUCACACUUAAAAAAGAUUUAAACAAUAACUAGCGACGCUUUAAAGCAUCGACAAGUAUAAACUCGACACUUGUAAAAGCGUCGAGCAAAGAGUGGCUAAGUAAACAGUUCGGAAUAAAUAUACGUACCGACGCUUUAACAUAGCGUCGGAAGAUUUUUAUCAAUAUUUGAUAAAAAUAUAUUUAUUGAUAAUACUUACUCAUGAUAUUGGCAUAUGCAAAUAUUGAGAGCGUUAAAAUAAAGCUUCAACAUUGACUAAAACAUAUUUUGUUGUAGUGCCACCACUUUAUUUUAAGAGUAAACUUUAAACUACCUAACCUUAUAUGUUAUAGUGCGUUUUUACUUUAUCCCUCUAUUGUUCAGAAAGUUAAAUAUAGUUACUUUAUAAUUUUAUUUUUAUUUCAACGGAAAUAUAUCGUCAAAUAGAAUUGUAAAGUGAAAUUUACUAAAACAAAAAUAAAAUCAUAAAAGAGUUAAAUAUAAUUUUUUGAAUUAUAAAAUAGUAAAAUAUACUUUUUUUUAACCACAGGAAGGCAAAGUGAACAUGCACUAUACCACGCAGGGACAAAUUGAAAUUUACCUACAUUUUAAUUAUUUAGUAAUUAUAAUUUAUCCCGAGUAGAAGUUUAAUUUAGGGUAAAAUUCAAAUACCCCUGUGAUUUCAUACUUUCUCAUUUUAGUACCCUAUGGUUUAAAGUGUAUCACGUUAGCCCCUGUGGUUUCGCACUUUCUCAUUUUACUACUCUGUGGUUUAAAGUGUAUCAAGUUAGUGCCAUGUGGUUUCAUUUUUCUCUUUUUAUUAUCCAUUUCACUAAUUUUUUUUGUUAAAUCAGCGACAAAGUUAAAAUUAAAGGAUACUAAAAUGAAUAUUUGAUAAACUUAGGUAAGAUAUCUGAAGUUUUUUGUAUAUAAUUUAACGAAAUAUUAACGGAGGAAAAAAAAUUUAGUGACAAAGUUAAAACUAAAGGUGUUGAAAUAAUAUUCGAUAAACCUAAAUAAGGUAUCUGAAGCUUUUUUUAUAUAAUUUAAUGAAAUAUUAACAAAAGAGCCGACGAAAAGAGAAAAAUAAUAUCACAGGGUACUAAACUGAUGCACUUUAAACCAUAGGGUACUAAAAUAAAAAAGUGCGAAAUCACAGGGUACUAAAUUGAUACACUUUAAACUAUAGAAUACUAAAAUAAAAAAAGUGUGAAACCAUAAGGUGGUAUUUGAAAUUUUUUUAAAAAAAAAAAAACCUAAAACGUAGAACAAAUAGUUAUAAUUUACAUUGGAAAUUGUGUCUGUAAUUGUUCUCUGUUCUUGUUUUCUAUUGUUAUUUUUGGGCUUUCAAUUAAUAAGCUUCUCUUUCUCUCUAGAUUCGAGGACGGCGUAGGAAGUACCACUCAAUUUUUAUUAUUUUUUGUUUUUUUAAGUGAACUUCAAAUUUCUUUGAUAUGGUUUAGCUUAUUUUUUAUUUUGCUAUACUGUAAUUUUAAAAAAUUUACCGUGCCUUCCUAUAGGUUAAUUUUUAUUUUAUUAAAAAUUUCUAUAUCAAAUAGGAUAACAAAUUAAAAAAUUAUAAAAAAAUUAUAGAGGGGCGAAAUUGAAAAAAUAAAUAAAUAAAUAAAUCAUAGAAUGAUGUGAGCUAAACUACAUAAGGGCAAAAUAAAAUUUUUUAAAUGACGAGGUGACAAAGUGAAAAUAAGAUAAACCGCAGAAGAACAAUUUGAAGUUCACCCUUUUUUUUCCAAAAAAAAACGGUUAAGAGUUAAAACUAAUCUUUAUCGUUUUAAUUAAUUUUAUCAGUAAUAUUACGCCCACUUUCUGUUGAAGAAAAAUUCAAAUUUUUAAAUUUUACUUUAUUUGUAUUUAAUAUUUAUUAUUAUUAUUUUAUUAAUUUAUUUAUUUCUUUCUUUCUUGGCGCGAAAAAAAACUCCUUGUUAUGUUUCUUAUGCCUAAUGGGAGAGAUAUGGGUCGAAUAUUUUCUAGCGUUCAACUUCCUUUCCCUCAUCCUCUAUAUAUUCUCUUUCUGCUCUGACAAGAUAUAACAGACAUUGAAAGUAAAAUUAUGAAAAGAAUAGAUAUUUUCCUCUUUUCUCACUCAUUUUCAUAUUCUCUUUAUUUAUUUAUUGAGUGUUGAAAAAAUUUUCGUCAAUUUCUGCCAUGAUCGUCAUACUCGCAGGGGAAAAAAUUUCGGCCAUAUUAUUGGGUGGUUCUUGGUUAAUUCCGCAACGGAAAUAUGUUUUAGGACAUUACUACAGAUGCUUCCGAAUAUAUAGAUAAAAUUUUAUAAAUUUUUAGAGUUUAUCUGUAAAUUUUAUUUUAUUUUUAUCACUAAAUUAGUUAGAUCUUAAUUACAAUUAGAUUUAACAUAUUAAGAGAUUUAUAUAAAUGGCAGCAUGAUCCGUUACUUAAAAAAUAAUAAUAUUAAAUCUUUUAAUAUUGAUUAAUUCUAUUUUUUUGUCUAUUUUUUAAAGUGUGUACAGUAACAGAUUGUGAGAUGAUCACGCACACACGCUACCUAAAAAUAAAUAAAUAAAUUAUUUUAGCAUAGAUUCGAUUUCUAUCUACUUUUAAAAAGUGGGCGUAACUACAAAUCACGUAUUCACGUGUUUGUGUAAUCUCAUGCCGCGUAUAAAAAUCAAUUAUUUUAGAUAAAAAAUUUACAAAACUUGUCUAAAUUAAUUAUAGAUUAUUUUAAAUUGAUCAUCAAAUCUUUUAAAAUUUUAAUUAGUUUUACUAUCCGAUAUUUCAACUUAUUUGAUUUGAAUUAGUUAAUAAUAUUUUGAUUUUAAAUUUCAGACUAAUUGCUAAUUUUAUUGAAUAUAUAGUUGUGAGAAUUGCAUUGAGGUUAAUAACGAAUAACUAAAUAUCUAAAUAUAAAUAACGUAUUCAUAUUUUAAAAUCAAAAUUUUGAAACAUUAUAUAGUCAAUUCAGAUAAGUUUGAAACGUUUUCACCAUUAUUUUAUCAUAGAUUCUUUUUCAUCAUGUCUAUUCGAUCUUGGACAGUUGGAUAUGAGCACAACAUUAUUCCUAAUCUCAUCGUCACAUGUGAUUUAUGAAUAUAACAACUUUGAAGUGAAUUAAAUUAGGAGAAAUCUGGAUCUGUCAGCUGACACCACACAAGUCCAAGUAGGGUAGACAUUUAAGAAAGGAUAUUUAGAAGCUUCAUGUUGCUUGCUUGUUCAAGUAUAUUUAGGCGCCGUUUGGUUCUAUGUUAACUAUGAAUACAGUAUAGUUAAAUACACAUAUAAUUGGCAAUACAAUAAUUAUAAUUAUAUAAAUCUUAUUUGGUUGCAUGAAGUAGAAAGUACUGUUGCUAUAGAGACUUAAUUUGCUUAGUGGCAUGCUGUUGAAUGUCACGCCCCGGAUGUCUCGUUCCCCGGGCACGCCGACAAAUCCGCCGUAUAUAAAGGAAUUUUUUCUAUAUACGAAGCGACAACAGUAACUGUAAACAUACAAUACUACAAACAGUAGUAUAGAGCUGCUCGAGUAAACAAAAGCUAAACAAACUGAGCCUCAUAUACAUAGUUCAAAAACCAAAAUACAGAGUUACUCGCACUGGCGAGUUAAGUACUAUGUACAUAAGCUCAAGGUAAAACAACUGCCUGCAGUAGGGUGCCUCUAGCUCUGCUCAGCGGGUAGGGCUCUAACUAGCGACGCCCUUGCCUCGAUCCUGAUCCGCGGGAAGCGCAGCAGCCGAAACCUGUGGCUCUGCAAAACAGGGGUAACAAUUGGGCGUGAGAACUACUGUAAAAACAAGUAAUCCUCAGUGGGUGCCGCCCAAAAUAAUAUCGGUCCACCCACCAAGUCUACAGAAGAGAGCCAGGAUAGUAGAAAAAUGCAGAAAAUAACUCAACCGCUACAAAUCACUACACUAACAUGCUCUACACUAAUCAACUGUAGGAAAUGUCAAAUCUGACCCAAUCCAAUCGGGACUGUAAUCAUACCCGUCCCUGGAACUGUGAAUACACCCGUCCCUGCCCAGUUGCGACUAUCCAGCUAUCUCCACACUAACUGGUCCGUGGAGAGCAAGUCCAACCGGCAUGAGCGACACCAACGCAAAAGCACAAAGCCGUCUCCGGAGUGGCACUCGUGGGCGCUACCAAACCGAGUAUGCAGCGUAUCUCUGUCGAGCUCAAUCAGGCUCUCGAAAGCCAAAGUCCAGUAACUAACUCAAUUUGGUCUAACAACCAACAAGUAACGUGCCCUCGGCACAAUCUGACGCCAAAAGGCGAUACGAGUCCACCGUCGACCCAACGCCACCCAACAGUCUGGAAACAGCUCAAACGACCCUGUAAAAAUCCACUCGGCGUAGCAGCACGAGCGUAAAAAUAUUGUAAACUACCUGAAGUACUCGUCUCGAGGAUACAGCGACAGUACAAUUUUAUAACGGCUCCUAGAGCUAAAUCAGGCAGUUUAAACAUGUGACUGGUCCAAAUCGCAGGUUUUCUCCUAAUUCAAAUUCCAAGUCCAACAUGUAUAAUCUACUCAAUUUAUUACCACAUGCUCCAAAUUCAAAUUUGCAAUCUACAAUAAAAUCCAUGAAUUCGAGCUAGACAAGGCUAUACCAACAAUCGAGAUCUAUACAUACCGACGAUUAGAACUUAGGAGUCAAAACCGAUGUAACCCACCUCGCACGCUAAUCCCUGGUAGCACGGAAUCCCCUCAGCUGUGGCACCGCCUGCUGGAUCGACUGAAAACGCCCGAUUCCCGCAAUCGAGCUAACUCCAAACUAUAAACACCAAAAAUUCUCAAUUCAGUCCAAAAUCCACAGCAGCAGAGAAGAGAAGGAUUUCGACUAAGCUAACCUUCAUCAAAAUCCGCAAGUAAGGGCUUCGUGGAUUCCUCUCGAAGUCCCGAAUCCAACGAACCAAGUCUCGUCGCAAUCCGAUGCUCCUACGUCGAGAACGAGCUAAAAUACUAACAGUCGACGGUGAAAUUCAGCAAACUACACUUCUCCGAGUUGAAGUAGUAAAAACUUGACCAAAAUCCAGGGAAAUGCUGAAUUACUCACCUCGACAACACCGGGCACCGCUGCAACAGCAAAAACGGCGAAAACCUCCGCUCGCCCGGCCUUCUCGCGCUACCCCGGCGUCAAACACGAGCUCGAACGACUCCGUGGCGCGACGUCGACGAUGAAAUCUGAACUCCACCCGAGCUUCACCGUGCGCAAGAACCCAGCUAGAGAGAGAGAGGAGAAGAAGAAAAGCUUCCUCUCUCUGCUUUACACCACACUAUAUAGAGGGAGAGAAAGGGGUGAUACAAACGAGGGAUAAAAUUACCCAUUUAGCCCUCUACCUACCCCCUUAUACCGGUACACGGGCUCCUGUACCGGUACAAGAGCCAACCCGAGAACGGCUAUAUCAGUGCGCGCUGGUUGUACCGGUAUAGCGUGCUGGUUGUACCGGUACAGCAAGCAGAGAAAUCUGCUAUUUUGCAGAUUUCUUCGCUAUAAGCUGCCCUCGCGUCGCACGGAGUCCGUUUUGCGUCUAUUUGGCGCCAACGCAACUCAGACUUGUCCCGACACUCUACAGAGCUGUCGACAAGUCUCCACAGCUGAACACCAAGGAUCUCACAUUGAAAGUGUAUCAGGUGUGAGAUUAUCCUAAUGUACGUAGAAAAUAAAAAAAAUAUAUUUUUAAAAGGUUUUUAGGGAGGUAAUCUUAUUUUUGUUUAAAAUUACUCAUUCUCCAAUUGCUCUAAUUGAAACUGGGGUUAAUUUGGACGUAUUUCCAAUUGCUUCAGUUGAACCUCCUCGCACAGUUGCAAUUGCAACGAUCGAAUUCAACUGUAUCAAAACAAAUGCCAAAUUUCGAUAUGUAUGCAACUACAAAUGUAGUGCAGUUGUAACUAUGUGCAACCAAACAACCCCCUAACCUAGCAACAUAUAUAGGGUAAUUAAACUAUACUUUUGGUCCUCCAACCAUGAGUGCGAUACUCUAAUCCUCAAGCUUUAAUUUGUUGUAAUUUUUUACUCAAAAUUUCUUAAUUGCUGCAGUCAAGUCCCAUAACGUAAUUUAGUUUCUAAAUCUUGACAAAUUAUUGAUACAGAAGUGAUGUUGGAGUAUUAUGAUUGAUGAUGCAUGCGAUAAUAAUUAAAAUGAUAUAUUACUUUCACAUCAAUAAUUUAUUAAUUUUUAACCAGCUAAUGUAUUUGGUUGUGAGGCUUAAUUGUAACAAUUCAAAAGUUCGAGCCAAAAAUUAUAAAAAAUUAAAGUUCGAAGACGAAAACAUCAUGGGCCUUAUAAUUUUUGCGAAGAAUAAAUUACCUAAAGGCAAUUUAUAUAUGAUAAGAAAGAAUUUCUUUUAUUUUCAUAAAGAACAUCAUAUUAUGUAGAUUCCAAUUAUUUAGUUAUAGUAAUAGUGCUGAAGUUUUUAUUGAAAAAUAAAAAAGUACAAUUUUUUGACAUGAUAUUAUUAAAUAGCCCUCAAAUAUUAGACAUGAGUUUUUGAACUUGAAAACCACAAAAAUGCUUUUACACAAUUUGUUUACACAGAAGAUCCAUACUUAUUUGAGUUCCAGCUAUAAAGUGGAUCCAAAUCAUUCAUAUAUGAAAAUAAUUAAUAAAGCGAUCGUUACUAGAGCAAGUGGCAAAGGGCUUGAUGGUUGGUACCCGAGACCCAAGUUCAAAUCCUAAUUGAUUCACAUUUCCAGCUAAGCUUAUUUCUAAAUGAAAUAAAUGAAGCGGGUAACUUGUAACAUAUCUCUCAAAAAAAAAGAAGAAAAUAAUUAAUAAGGGUAUUGAAUAAUAAAUAUAUUUCUACAAUGUUUAACUUUUUUAUUUUUAUUUCGGUAAAAAUUCAAGUAAUAUUCAUAUUUGUCCCUCUGGUUUGUUAUCAUUAGAGCACUAUUUAUUUUUUAACAGCAGAAAAGCGAAAUGACAUUUUUGCCCUUAUAAAUAUAUCCCUCCAAAAGUCCCAAUUGCUAGAAUUAUACAGAAAUAUUUUCCAAAAAAAAUAUUUUAUCUAAUAAUAUAAGAGGGUAGAAAUAUCAAUUUAACUUAUUCACUAAUUAAGAUUAAGUAUUGUACCUAUAGUUAAUUAUAUUUUUCUAAUAGAUCCUAACAGCAAGAGAAUAUUUGAAAAUAUUAAGACUUUUGUGGGGAUAAAAAUAAAAAUUAAACUUUAUAGAAAUAUCUCUACUAUUCAAUAUAUUUAUAGGGAGCUGUAUGUAAUUAACCCAAAUAACUAUGAGGUUUAGGCUUAGUUUGGUAUUGAAGUCUAUAUGACGUUAUUAGCUAGAUAAAAUAGCGUUGGGGUAAAAUUAUAUAGGAAUAUGCUUCUGUAUUCUCCGGUGGAACCGCAUAAAAUAUAUUUUAAUCGACUCAUUAUAAUAUGCAGAACACAAUAUUAAUUACGUACGAAAACAAACAUAAUAUUUUCCUCUUAUACUUUCUCAUCGCACGUCACGUAAUCUCCUCGCAAUUCCAAACGAAGCCUCGGAGAACUAGUACUUAUUUCGGUGCAAACAUAUGACCUUUUAAAUUAGUCUUUUUUGUUCUUUUCCUCUGAACUGAAAAUCUCUUUGUGUCUGCAUAACCUACAAAAUCUUACAUACAAUAGUAUGUUCCCACAACUUGCAUCGAUCCAAUGUUUCUAAAAUAAGGCGAGUGAACUAAAAUUAAGCUCGGCUUAAUUUAGAACCGACUCACCAUGAAAGCUUGAAUAUUGUUUCAGACUCGAAGUCAAAUCCAAUCAAACUCGGCUAACUCAAUCGUGUUAUCUGAAACUCAAUGAUCGAUGAGUCUGAUUUCUUAGUGAGUAAUGCACGAUAUUACUGCUCAGUAAUUUUCUAUAUAUUAAAUAGUAAAAAUAUUAAGCUAUAGGUACGUAUCAUAGGUGUAUAAAGUAGUAAUAUGGGGAUAUCAUUAAUGUUGAUAAUAAUAAUUAUAAUUAAUAAACAACUCUAUGGGCCUAUAUAUGUUUAGAAUAUAUACAUAUAGAGAGAGAGAGAGAGAGAGAGAGAGAGAGAGAGAGAGAGAGAGAGUAUUAUGUUUAAAACUCUAAUAAGUUUUUGAUUGACUCACUUAAAAACUCCACUCUCGUUACUUUCGAGUUGCAUGCAUUUACUAUACGCCUUGCAAAUCCAAGUUCUCAUAUUAGAAUAAGGAAAAAAGAGCAUGAAUCAAAAAAAUAAUUCCAAAUAUACUCCACUCCUAGUGAAAAAAAAAGAAAAAAUCUUAAGCCUCAUCAUACUUCAUUUAAUUCUCAAUUUGGGCAAGGACGCACAUUACAAAGCAUAUUAUCAUGUGUCACGCCAAACAUAGAUCGUUUUAUGGUUCCAUGUGAACAUCACAUGCACCACUUAAGUAUGCUAUUAUCAGGUACUCUAACAUGCUUUUAGUAGUAAGUAGUAGGGCCCUUGUGAGUGAUCUAUUUGAUGAUUGACACAUAUUUAAUUAUCUAGGUAAAUUAAAAAAACUAUAGCAAAAUUAUAUGGGGAUUCUCUUUAUAAAUCAUUUGGAAAAUAGGCCUUUCAAUUAUGAUUUUUUUUAAACAAAAAUUAAGGCCUUUUUAAUUUUAGCCUUUUUUAGUUAAAUUAUUUUUUCAUUAAUAAGAUAAAAGUUGCGGCUUAAUUUUACGGUGAUUUUGUUGAAUAUAACUUCGUUAAUAGUUUUUGAACUUACGAUCCUGCAAAAUUUAUUAAUGUGUUAAUUGCAUGCAAUGAGUACGUAGUCUCUAAACUUUAAUUCAAAGUUUCAUUUUGGUCCUUAAACAUUUGAUUUUGUUGUUUGGGUGUUUCAUAUUAAUACUUAAACUUUCAACAUUAUUUCAUUGUAAUUCUUAUUUUCGAAAAACAUGUAUAUACUAUUUGUACCUAGUUCGUCUUAUGUUCAUACAUUAACAUAAAUUUCACCGAUUGUUUAUUAAACUGAUACCUUUUGUUUAACAGUCCAACUUCUAAAUAAAAAAAAUAUCGUUCCUUAAUUAAUGGAUCAUGAAAUUGAAAUAUAUGUUGAGAAUACUUUGAAAGAUGCAUUGGGACUAAAAUCAAACUCUAAUUUAGAUGCUCCAGCAUCGAAAUUAAAAGUAUAAGGACCAAAAUGAAACCGAGAAGAAUGUUAAGGGUCUAAUUGUGCAAUUUAACUAUUUAUUAUAUAUUAACUGUUAAUAGCUGAUAUAAAAAGAAAAAUCAAAAUAUUUAAGUAACCCAAGAGAAAACUAAAAAAAAAAAACAAGGUAAUAAAAAAACUGAGAAAAGAGGAGGUCCCUAUAGUAUAGUGUACACUAAGGUACGAUGCAUACACCGGAUUUAGUUAAAUAAUUAAGGCAGAAAUGUAUAAAGGCCCCCACACUAUAGGCUGUUCUAAAAUAGCUCCCUCAACUUUCUUUUUUUUUUUUUUUCCGAUUAAGGCUUCUUAAACUUCCAAUUAAUUUUUAUUGCAGUUUUAACAUUCAGUUGAGUUAAGAAUUUAUUAAAUUUGAUGACUCUUACUAACUAUUAGUUGGUCACAUAAAUAAAUCUAACAGAUGACAAUAUCGUAAUUUUACUGUGAUAGAUCAUUACAUGGCACGCAGACGAGAUACGCUUACGCGGGCUUAUUAUAUGCCGUUCUGUCGUCGAGUUUUCGCGGCGACAAAGAUAUUGGGUUAAGAAGAAUACUAGUAUAAUAUUGUAGUUUUUCAUUUUUUUUUUCCCUUUUUGGGCAGUGCAAAUUAGAUUUAAGGUUUUAUAAAUAAUUAUUUAAUAUGGAUUUUCCAUGAAUUUAGGGCUUUAUCAGUAGUUCUAAUUGAAUUUGGUUGUGGACAUUCCAUUGAUGUGUUAGAACCAAAAUAACUUGGAUUCUGAUUUUAUAUUCUUUCUUGUAUAAGAAAAUAGGAUAAAUAUUCUAAAUAAAAUACCGAUUCUACUCAAUAUAAAGAAUGAUCCAAAAACAUUCAAAUAAGUUAUGACUUUUAAAGAUGCGGCAUUCUAGAAAGUAGUGAAAAAUAAAUUGGAUUCGUUAUUAUCUAAUAAUACUUGGGUCCUAAAUAAUUUAUUGCCUGAAUCAAAAUCAACUGGAUGCAAAUAAAUAUUUAGAAAAAAAUAUAAUACAAAUGCAUCUAUAUAAUUUAAAGCCAGAUUAGUAGCUAAAUGAUAUAGGCAAAAAGAGGAUGCGGAUCAUUUCGACACUUUUGCACUAGCUUUUAAGAAUAACAUCCAUUAAAGUGUUGUUAGUACUUGGUUCAGUUUAUAAUCUUUUUGUACAUCAAAUGGGUGUUAAAACAACAAUUAUAAAUAAUGAACUAGAUUAAAAAGUUUAUAUGAAUUAACCUGAAGGAUUUGUACUAUCUUUAAAUAAAAAAAAGUUUAUAAAUUAAUUAAAUCUUUAUAUGGCUUGAAGUAAGCGCCAAAAUAGUGACAUGAAAAUUUUGAAUCUAUAACAUUGUUCAAUAAAUUUAAAUACAAUAAUAUGGAUAAGUGCAUUUGUUUUAAAUUUAUAGAAGAAUGGGGUGUAAUAAUAUGUCUAAAUAUUGAUGAUAUUCUUAUAAAUGGGACAAAUCUAACUUCUAUAUUUAAAAUUAAAAAUUUAGGAGUAAUUGCUUAUAUGCCAUUAAAAAGUUUUCAAUUUUUUUUAUUUACUCCUCUUAAUUAGAAUGGUAAUAUAAAAAAAUACCCUCUUAACGUUACAAGUUAUUUUAAAUACUUCUAAAGUUAAAUUCUAUUAGUGAAUUGUUAACAACGGCUGUUAUUUCUGUGAAAGUACUAUUUUGCCUUUUCAAAUAUAUUCUUUUACUGUCACCGAUUUUUUUUAUUUGUCCUUAAGUUAGGGCAAAAGAAGUGUUUUAAAUUUUUUGUCUUUUCAAAUAUACCUUUCGAGCAUUACUAAUUUUUUUUAUUUCCCACUUAAGCGCAAAAGAGGAAUACAUAUAUCCCUUAAACAAAGUUUAAAUGAAUUAUCAUUAAAAAAAAAAAACAUGUAGAGCCAAAAGUUUUGGUUCAAAGCGGGUAGAUAAACAUUAUUGAACUUAAUUUUCAAUUUGAAAAUGACGUUCAAUUAUUUUUAUUUUAUAUGAAGGUACUGGUUUUGGAGCUAUAGUUAUUUUAUACUUUUUAAUUUGUUUUAUUGAAAUUUUUUUAUACUAGCAUAUAAAAGGAUCCAAAAAAAUAACAUUAGUUGAUUUUUUUUAUUAUUUUUCUGACCUCUUUUUCUCUCACAAUUGACUUUGGCACUAUUCAAGAGGAAGCCAAUUACAACAUUUUGAAAAAGUGACAUUACAGGUGACUUGCAUUAUUUAGACCAAACAAUGAAAAUGAUUAUGUACAGUCCAAAAUAACUACUUACUCUUCUCGAUCCACUUUUUCUAGAAUAAACACAGGACUGUUUGAUUUAGAUUCUGAAAAAGUAAUUUCUAUAAAAUUGACUAUGGACGACCUUGAAUUACCUGAGUAAUCUUUCAAAAUUUUAAUUUUACUAUUCAACCUUUCAAUUUAUUUGAUUUGAGUUAAUAAACGAUACCUUGACUUCAAAAUUUAAACUAAUUAUUUAUUUUACUGAAUUUAUAGUUGCAAGAAUUGUAUGAAGUAUAUUAACUAAAUUAAAUAACGUAUUCAAUUUUUGAAGUCCAAAAAUUAUUGAUUGAUUCAAAUCAAACAAAUUGAAUGGUUAGAUAGUAAAAUUAAAAUAAUAAAAGAUUAGGUAGUCUUGGCGCAGGAAAAUUAGCGCCGGCUUGUAGAUGGCUCGGCUCACUUGAUUGGCUCGCAUGAGCGAAUAAAAAGAUGACACGUAGUGCACUGGGAGCCGAGAAAGAAACGCCCGAAGAUGAAUGAAAGAAACGCUCAAAGAUGAAUGAGCUUUAGACGGGAAUGGUUGAGAAUGUGGGGAACAGUGUGUAACCAACGGUAACAUGGCAGGAGCACUCUCCACAACGCGAGCCGUUCAGAAACCAGAGGCUAACUAAGAAGCACUAUAAAUAGUGAAAGAUUGCUUGCAAUAAGAGUCUUUCCUACAUACAAAGCUGAUGCCUUUAUUUAGGGUUGAGUCAAUCCUUCCUCAACCGAACCACUUAAUUGUGACGCGUUCAAGGGUCGUUUAGAGAGCUGAUGCGCAACUUUGAGGGCACUUUUGACUCGGUCAACAGCUUAACUCGAUCAAUAUUUCGGGAGUUUGGCUCAGUAUAAACAUGUAGCCAACUCAAAAUUGUCAAUAAUUGAUGUAAGUUAUGUAUAUUUUUACUUAAAAAUAAAAAUACAAGAUUGUAUCGAUAAGAAGCGUAAAAGAUUUGAAUUUGAGAAUAUGAAAAUUUAUUAUUAUUGUAUAUAUAUAUAUAAAGUUGAACGUAGCGCACCCACUUCGUAUAUAUUUUUCUUCUUUUUUAGAAAUGAAUUUAGUUGGAAAUAUGAAACAACUAUAUUUCGAAUUUGGUAUCUCGACUACCAAACAUCAAACUUUUUAGUACUUGUCCCAGGAAUAGUCAUACUUAAUGCUAAAAUAUUGGUCAUUUGUUUAAAGCUCCGUCUGAUAUUGCAGGGAGAUUACAUUACGUGUGGUGGUUUCUAUACGUAAUAUCGUGUUUCUCGUAUCGCAAUGAAUAUUUUAUGUGGUCCUACCAGAGAAUAUAAAAGCAUAUCACUAUAUGUUUUCGUCCUCCAUUCAUUUUAUCUAUUUAGAUCGGUCUCAAUACCAAACACGCCCUAAGGUAACAAUCACGACAUGCACAGGUAACAAAGUGUAGGCCCAUCGGUCGGCCCAUGGGCCUUUGUUUCCAGAAGAGCUCUAGCCCAGGUGUGUAACCAAACUGGCUCAUUUGCAACUCACAAAGCAUAAUAUUUCUUUCUAAUUUCUUUCUUUUUAGGUGAAAAAUAUAUAAAUUUUUCUUGGAGAAUUUUACUCUUUGAAUAAAUUUAGACCGUGGAGUUUUGGUGGAAUAAAUUAAAGAUAAAUUGAACAAAAUAAAUCAAAACCAUAGAGUGUAAUUUUAAUAUUAAAAACUUAGGAUAAAUCUGGAAUCUCGAUUGUAGGUUGUAAUUUAGAUAUUAAUAAAUUUGUACUGUAAAGUUUUAAUACAAUAAAUUGAUUGAUCUAAGAUAAAAUAAAUUUAGAAUAAAUCUAGAUCGAUGGUAAACUUUCUUGCUUCAAAAUUUCACCAUUUGGUGCAAUAUUGUUGUGUGGAUAGUAUUUUAGUGUAGUUACUUGCGUGUUGCAGCGAAUAGCUAUUAUCGAUUUUUUUUUUUUUUCUGAUCAUCCUUGAUCGGCUUUUUUUUUUUUUUUUUUUUUUUUUUUUACGUUAUAUUCAGUCGACAAUUCAGUUGACUUGCAUAUGUAAGUGGGAAACAUAUAUUUAAGUAUAGAGUGCGGCUAGGAUGCUUAUGGAAGCACGGAGGGCUCCGUGCUUCCACUAUGUUUUCGAUGUUCGGACUUUCGAAUCAACGAUCGGCUCCAUUAGACUUGAUCUAGAGUAUUUGAAGUAUCUAGAAAAUAAAUUUUACGAUUUUUCAAUAUCAUUUGCCUAGUGAUCGAAGUGGCUCAAAAUCAAUGGCUGAAAAUAAAAAUCUUACAAACUAUGAUGAUAUGACAUUAAAAUUUUAGAUCAAAGUUAUUGAUCUUGUUUUAUAUGGUAUAAAAAAUUUUCUAUCAAAAUUUCGUGUGAUUUGGAUAUUUCUACACCGUUAAACUUGCAACCGGCUCACCACGGCCAUUAAAAUUAUUAAUUUUGAGCCCCUUCGAUCACUAGUCAAAUGAUAUCGAAAAAUCACAAAAUUUCUUUUCUAGGUACUUCAAAUACUUUAGAUCAACUCUAACGGAGCCGAUCGUCGAUUCGAAAGUCCGAACAUCGAAAACAACUUGAAAGCACGGAGGGCUCCGUGCUUCCAUAAGCAUACCAGCCCACUCUUUAAGUAUAAUCAAUAGGUUAAAAGUUUGGCAAAGAUAAGAAAACUGAUAUAAAUCAAAGAAUUUUUGAAAUAAAAAUAUACAUAAGUAUUGUUGGAAAUAGUAAUCCAUACUUAAAUCUAAAAUUUAGUUGGAUUUGUCAUCUAUUAUGACUUCAUAGCUAUAUAUAUAGCUAGGCGUGGAUUAAUUACAUGAAUCAGUCAUAACAGAUAUGGCCACAUAGGGUGUAAUUAGAGACUUAUUAGUUUAGUUAUCUUCUUCCUCCUCCAAUAUUUUUUCUCUAUAUUAUGUUGUCCUAUUUUACAUUCUGGAUUAUGUAAUCGGUACUAGUAUAAAUACCGAUUUCAAUAAUUAAUAGCGGAGCAAAUCACGCUUCCGACAAGUACACCAUAUAUGCAGAAAUGUAGGUGAUGCAGGAAAAGAGAUAUGCAAGCAGGCAAAUAUGCAAAGAUGGAUGCCAAGAAAUCGACACACCGUAUAUCAAUAUAUCAAUUCAACUACUAAGAAAAUACCCGCCAGAAAUAAACAAAGUAUAUAUCAAAUAUACACAAAAAGUAUGUACCCUUAAAAGAAAGAACCUGCGGGAGACAUAGAUAUAGAAAAAUUUAUUAUUGAAAUAUAGAAAGAAAAAAUUUUUUAGCAAUAAUAUAAUGCUACUUAUUUAUUAUAUAUUUUUAUUAAAUUUUUUGAAUUUUGUUGAAAAAAUUACUUACUAAUUUCAAGAAUAUAGAGUUUUGAUUUGUGCUAUCGGCAUAGGGACUGUAUCGUGUCGAUAUCUUGUUGGCACAGAAGGUCUUUUAUUUUCUGGACGAAAUGUCUAAUGAAUACUCGCUAAAGUCUACUAAUUAAAAUAUAAGGCUAAUUUCAUAUAUAUUCAUCAAAAUCUUCAAAAUAUGACAAAUACUCCUACAAAUUUUAAAAUACCACAAAUACCCCUCUAAUAUAACUUAUUAUGGCAUGAAUAUCCCUACAGUUGCCGUCCGCCGUUCAACUUGAUGGUAAAACCUGGUAUUUGAGAAUAGUUUAAUAUGUGUUAAGUUGUAGAAUAAUAAUUUUCCUUGUUCUAAAAAAAAAAAAAAAUUCACCGUAGACAACAUGCGUUAAGUUUUAGAAUAACAAUUUUCACCGUAGACACCUCCAAGUUCUUUUUUUAUUUUUCUUUUUGGUACUCGAAUGACUUUUAUCAACCAGAUUCAAAAUUUUAUCAGAUUCAUGAGAAAUUUUGUUGAAUUAAAAUAUUUUAAGCAUGAACAAUUAACAACUAAUAGCUAACAGAGUGAGUAUUAAAAAAUAAAUCAAUUAACUAACUAGAAAAACUUAAAUAGAAAAAUUAAAAGUUAAGUGGAUAUCAAUUAAAAAAAAAAGUUGAUAGAAUAUUUCAUAAUGCCAUUUUUUUUAAUUGCAACGCCUUAACUUUUAAUUUGUAGUUAAAUAAUUUGGUCAAUUAUAUUAAAGAUAUUACUAAAUUUAAGAGUGGCGCAGGAUUAAAUUUAAAAUUUUAUUCAUUAAUCAGCGCAAAGAAUGUAGGAAAAUCAAUAGCUAAUUGUUAUCAGAGCGACUAAAUGUAAUAAAAUAUUUAACUUAACUAGCUAAUAACUAAUUAGAAUUACUCAAUUCAAAAUAAUAAAAAGUUAAAAAUAAUGCUAACUUAAAAAAAUAGAAGUUGAUGAGGCUGUUCCAAAAUAGCUUAUAGCUAGGGGUGUCAAGCGGGUCGGGCACCCCGUGGGUCCAGCCCACAGCCCAAUCCGGCACGGUGGCCUAGCACGACCCGACCCGCAUCCAAGUGGGAGCGGUGCCAGGCCACAGGGCCGGACGUGACCCGGUAAGGCUCAGUCCAUUUAGGACUGGGCCUUGGCAUCAGACCGGCCUUUUUUUAUAUUUUAGGAUAAACUUCAAAUACCGCCCAUGUGGUUUCAUAUUUUCACACUUUAAUAUCUUGUGAUUUAAAGUAUACUAGUGUAAUAACCUACGCAAUGCGGCGGGCAGAUAUUGUUGUAGCAAAAUCUUUUCUUUGUAUAACAUUUUGAAAAUCUUCGAAACCACUUUUACAAAGUACAAACUAUAACUACAUAUUUCAUGCAUGACAGGCAUUGCUUUCCAGCAACAUUCUCUCCAGUUUCCCCAUUCUUACCAUUAAUAAGGAAAUCAGUUUCUACCUAUAGUGAAAAGAAAUGAUUAAAUUAUCAUCACUCUUUCAAGAUCAAAUUAUCAAAAUCGAAUUAAUAAGCAAAAAAGUAGAAUUGCUUAACAUCAAAUAGUAGGAGCUCAAACUUAUUGGUUUCUUCUUUUUCUUUUUCAUCCCAGCACAACUUGGCUCACCAGACUUAGCAACUGCACAAAACAAGCAUGUCAUACUCAAAAUUAAACAAUUCCCAUAAAUCUACUAUAACUACAGAUUAAAAGAGUCGAGACUUGCUGGUUUCUUCUUUCUCUUUUUCAUCCCAGCAAAACUUGGCUCACCAGACUCAGCAACUGCACAAAACAUGCAUGUUAUACUCAAAAUUAAACAAUUCCCAUAAAUCUAUUAUAACUACAGAUUAAAAGAGUCGAGAAAGUAAAGCACUUAAAUGGUUAGCACUCAUUAGAAAAAAGGUUAAACCUGUUAAAUUCUCGGUCUUCUCAGCCAACUUAUCCACCUCAUCUGUAGGGUCCUGAAUCACCACGUUCUUCUUCUUCUUCUUUUUCUUCGUAGGGUCGAAAGGUGCAAGCUGUACAAUCAUCAGCACCAAAUAAAUCAAAUAUGACUACCUAAACCACCAUCAAAAGUAGCAUAAAUAUAAGCCUAAAGAAGCUAACACUCAAAAAAGUUAAAACAUUGAAACUAACCCUAUCUGCAGAAAUUUAGCUUUUUCCCAAAGCACAGACAGAGUAGUACUUUAGCAAAUUACUUUAAGAACUGAACAAAAUAAUCAAAUAGUAAGGAAAAACAGUUCACCUCUGGCAUCUCCUCUUUCAUUUGUGAUGUGUUCUCCUCCGCCAUAUUGAGCACCUACUCAAAUUCUCAAAGUACCUGUAACCUGAUCAUAAGAAACGGAUACCUAAAGAAUCAAAAAUGUGAACUAACCCUAUUUACUUAUUUCUAGUCCCAAAUCUAACCAAAAUAUGAAGAAAACAGGAACAAAACAAAGGAGGAAAAAAAAACCCAAUUACAAUUUCAAAGAUUGAACCAAUCAGACAAUAGGAAAUCAAAAAUUUUAGAGCAUUAUGUUUAUUUAGAGAAGCAAGUGAGGGUGAAAAAUAACAUGUAAAGAAGGUCUGGAUGGUAAAAAUGAAAGCUAAAAAAAAAAAAAAGGAGAUCCAAUAUCAAUACCGUCGCCAACAGCCAGCCAGCGUCUCGAGCGGCCACGGCGAGAUAAGACGAUAACAUUUAUUGCACUGGGGCGAGAAGCGAAGGAGGUGCCGUAUGAAACGGAAAGGGGAGAGGGAUGAGGCGGCGGAGUGGGGAGAGGGAACGACGUAUCGUACGAAAUGAUGAAGGAAGAAGGAGCGUGCGGCGGAGAGGGGAGAGAGACCGCACUGCUGAGAGAGGAGAGGAAACGUUCCAUUUGAAAAAUACGGAGAGAAGAGAGCGGGCCGGUUCAGACGCAUGGUUCGGUUCAGAGAAUCGUACGAAAACCACAUAGAACAGAGAGCGGCGGUUCGGUUUAGCGGCGGUUCGAAAAAGGAUUAGAAGAGGGAGAGGAGAGACAAUUAAGUUCAGAAAAAAAACCUUUUCGGUUCAGAUAGACGGUUCGAUUCAAAAGAAAAAUAAAUAUGGAUGAAAGAUAGGCUGCCACGUGGCAAAGUUAUUGGGGAUUCAUAUAGAGUAAUAGAUUAUUUCAAUACCCUACAGUCCUACUUCAAAUACCGCCCAUGUGGUUUCAUGCUUUCUCACAUUAAUAUCUUGUGAUUAAAGUAUAUUAUUUCAAUACCCUAUGAUUUUAUUUUAUUUUUUUCGUCAACGACUCAGUUAACUUUUUGUUAAAUUAUAUACAAAAAAUUUCAAAUACCGCACCUAUGGUUUACCGAAUUUUUACUUUAGUACCUUGUAGUUUAUCGAAUUUUUACUUUAGCAUCCUGCGGUUUAACUUUGUCACUGAUUUAACAAACAAAUUAAUGAAGGGGAUAAUGAAAAGAGAAAAAUAAAACCACAGGGUAUGAAAGUAAUACAUUUUAAACCACGGAAUACUAAAGUGAGAAAUCGCGAAACCACAUGAAUAGUAUUUGAAGUUUUUCUUGAAUUUUAAUAGAUUUGUAUUUGUUUUAAUUUUUUUAAAAUUAAUUUAAACUAUUCAAGUUUUUUCAGAAAAAUAUUUAAAAAGCCAGGUGAAACUUAUUUAUUUAAUAAAAAAAUAUAUAUAUUUUAUAAAAUCAAUUGAAAAUAUUUUAAAAAAUAAAAUUAAAAUAUAAAAAAAUAUAUAUACACUAAUAUGAGUUGGCCCUUUGCCCUUUUCAGCCCAAAAAAUUUAGACCGUGUUAGUUCGACAUGGCACAUAUUACACCCCAACCUUUUUUGAGGGUUUUCAAUUUCCAUGCAUUUAUAAUAGGGGUAAAUAGACAUUUGACGGUGCUAACAGCUAAUUUGGGGACAAAAAUUUUGUGGGCAUCGUCUCCAAACAAUUUGUUUGGGGACGAUGCCGAUGGGCGCCGCGUGGUGUCGGCGCCCAUCGCGACCCUCGAAAAUAUUGACAACAUUAUUCAUAAAAUAUUUUCAUAUUUUAUGAGAUCUUGACUCAAAUACAUUGCUAGAAUAAUUUCUAGGCUAAAUUACAAAAAAUCUUUCUGUAAAUACCCUCUUUUUAUUUUUUUUUUUCCUGACUUUAAAACCUACAAUUCGCCUUCUUAAAAUUUCAAAAAUAUUUUCAGGAGAUACGACAUUAAUAGAAAGGACAAAAUGACCAAAUUACCUUUGCUUCUUCUAUAAGAAAAAAAUAGUUUUAAAAUAUAGUUUUAUCAUUUUGAAGGGUAUUUUCGAUAUAAAUUAUAAGAAAUGAACGAAAUAAUGAUAAAACACUAAUGAAGGAGGCUAAAUACAAUAACUUAAAAUGUUGAGAGAAUAAAAUAUAAAUUUUUAAAAGUUAGGUAAGGAAAGUGAAAAAAUCCAAUAUUUAUCCGGAGAUUUUGUGUAAUUUAGCCUAAUUUCAAAGUUGGAGUCCAAUCUAAACUUUAAACCGAUUCGGGUUCAAUUUAAUUGCACGUCGGACUCAAUCCAACCGAUUAUGAAUGGCUUAUGAGUAGAUCUAAAGGCAGGGUCAACACUAUUUGGUUUACACUGAAUUAUAGAACUUUUUGUGUCAUUUUGAUCCGUUCGGUUCAGUUUGUUUUUACAAAAUAAAAACGGACAAACCAAAUUAACAUAAGUAAUUAAUUUUUUUAAUAAUUUUAAAAAUUAAUUUAAAAUUAUAGUUUAUAAUGUUUAAUGACUUUUUAUCUUCAAAUUAAAGGUUUCAGACAAAAUUAAUUAUGUUUAUAUACUUCUUUUCUCGUAGUUAAUUUGUUUUAAUUCAAAAAAAAAAUAAAAUUAUCAAAUUUUCAGCCCAAAUAAAACGCGACUAUAACUCCAUAAGUCCACCGGUUCGGUUUUGCAAAAAGUCCUAAAAAGCCCGCCGCGCCUAACUGAACCGCUCCGAACCGAACCGAAGUAUCUUCGCCCCGAUCUAAAAAGUCGAAAGGGUCCCCUUCUAGGGUUUGUGUUCCAAGCUCUUCACCCCAAGAGGAGAGAGAGAGAGAGAGAGAGAGAGAGAGAGGGGAAGAGGAUACCUAUCGCUUCAACAAUGGCGGACGACGAUUACAACGACAUGGACAUGGGGUUCGAGCUCUUUUUUCGUCCCUUUCCUUCCUCUUUACUCUGUUCCUUACUUCGUCCUGAUCGGGUUGAGUAGAAAAUUUUAACUAUUCCAUGUCAAGUUCCGAUCUUUGAAUGGAUUACGCCAUGGUUAAGUAGUGAUUGAUCGAGUCAUGCAUACUACAUGUGGGUGAUUAACUUCGAGAUGCUCCAAUAUGGUAUUCACCAUGGAUUUAUUUGGUGAGGUUUUGUUUAAUCGCACUAAACAACCAAGUUGAUGCACUUUUUUUAGGGUGCUAUCUACAGCUUUGUAUCGUUUGGUUUAAAGAAGCUCUAAGAAGGUUGAGGGGGGGUGUGAAGAGUGUUGUAGGAUUUCAUAGGAAGGGUUGCAUGCUAAGCUCUAACAAUGCAUGCUAAGUUUGAUUUCAAUGACAAGGUUACUUUAAUGGUUCUUUAGAAAAAACUUUUUAGUCUUGUGGCGUUUUAGGUUUGCUUAGAGUCCCAGAUUGAGUCCUAACCAGCACAACCAUUUAGGGUCAUUUAUUAAGGGUAAAAUCAGAUAGGCAUUACUUGAACUUUGGCGCAUUUUGAAAUGAAGACCUCAACUUUAAAGAUUUGAUUUUUGUAUUCAAUUUUCAUAUAUAUAUAUAUAUAUAUAUAGAGAGAGAGAGAGAGAGAGAGAGAGAGAGAGAGAGAGAGAGCUAGGCUGGUAUGCUAUCGGUAGCACGAAGGCCUCCGUGCUACCAAGUUGUUUUCAAUGAUGCGGCUUUCAAAUCAAUGAUCGGCUCCGUUAGAUUUGAUCUACACUAUUAAAAGUAUUUGGAAACUAAAUUUCAUAAUUUUUCUAUAUCAUUUGGCUGGUGAUCAAAAGGUCUCAAAAUUGACAAUUUUAAUGGUAGAUGUGAUGCGUUUGUGAAUUUAACGGUGUAAAACAAUCCAAAUCUGAUGAAAUUUUUAUAGAAAAUUCUUUUCACUAUUUAGAGUAAAAUCAGUACCUCCGAUCUUAAAUUCAAGUUUUUUAUCAUUAUUUUUUAUGAGAUUUUUAUUUUCAGCUGUUUAUUUUUAGACUACUUGUUUGAUAGGUCAAUGAUACUGAAAAAUUAUAAAAUUUAAUUUCUAAAUACUUUAAAUAAUGUAGAUCAAGUCUAACGGAGCCGAUCGUCGAUUUGGAAGCCGCAUCAUUGAAAACAACUUGGUAGCACGGAGGGUACCGAUAGUAGUAUACCAGCCCCCCUCUCUCUCUCUCUCCUCUCUCUCUCUCUCUCUCUCUCUCUCUCUCUAUAUAUAUAUAUAUAUAUAUAUAUAUUAUUUCUGUACUCCUCUAUGUGCUGUCGAAAUUAGUGGCUUCUCUGAAAAAGUUACAGAUUAUCCCACCAUAGAAUUUUUCCUUAAGCUGUAUGAUGAUUCAUGAAAAGUUAUAAACAACAUUCAGUCCUAAACGAGGGGCAGUGAAAUCAUAAAUUAGUGAAUAAUUACAUUGUAAGUUCAUGUGCCUAUUUAAAGUGCCUAAUAGUUCAUCUGAAUGUUUCUUACUGUGCAGAAAAUCUUCCCAGGUCUUGAGUUAUUUAUGACUUUACUUUUUGCGGUCACUAUGUACUGAUUUAGUGCAUUUGAUGUAACAUAUUGCAUUUAUAUGGUAAAACUUGGGUGAGUUGCAUGAUCUGUGAAGUGCCUUAAUAGCCAUUCAAUACGAGUUGGGGCUUUUGGCCUGGAUGGAGCUUACGCAUAUCUGUUAUAUUAGUAAAGCUAUUUGAAUAGCUGAUAGUUUAUGAUGUUUAUAGAGAGUAAAUGGUGCGUUAUGGGGAGUGAGUAUCACAUAAAAUUUAUUUUGACUCACAAGUUUCUGUGAUAGUCUUCUUGGAAAAAAGUUCUACUUAGUUCUCUGUUAAGAGUAGUUCAGUAUAUGGCCGUGAGUCAAUAUCAACUUGUGCUACAUGUAAACUUACUCUAUCUCAUUUUGUCAAUUUUUGUAGUAGGCUGUAGCAUAAUUUAAGUGUUUUCAACAUUUUGUUAUAAACAUGAGUGCAAUGUUAUUACUUACACUUGAUUUAUUUAUUGUUUCUUUUCUAGUUACACAGGUUGUGUCCAUGUCCAACUCACGUCGGACUCGGGAUGCACUUNGGGGGGGGGGGGGGGGUGUGUCCUCUCCACUUUAGGAAGAUUUCCCAAGAGUCUUAAUAAUAGGAAAUAGGUUUGCUUCCACCCUGUGUAUCUUUAUCUAUAAUACACCACAACCAAUUAAAUUACAUAUAUGAUCUAUAAUAUUGAAGAUACACGCACACAAAUUAGACAUGCAAUAUGCACGUCACACAAAUUAAAGAGCAAAAAUUUUAUCGAGUCAAACAAAAAAUUUAUUUGACAUCCAAUAAAACCUUAAACCACAAAUUUAAUCCUAAAACAUGAUCUCAAACCUUAACCUAGCCAUAGAAUCGUCGUGUUGAUAGCAUCAUCGAGGGUGACAACAUUAUCGUCCUUAAAUGCCGGAUCGAACCUUAUGCCAAGACCUCGAUCUUGUCCCUGCUGAUUAAGAUCUCCCGCCUCUGUCGGCAUCAGCGGCGGAGACCCUUCAAGAGCCCUUCGAUCUAUGAAUAAGGAGGACCUUCUCUGCAACAUCUAUGGCUACAUUGCCGUAGAUGCCCCCAGCGGCACAAGGGCGACGACGGCGUCAGCAGCGGUAGCGGUAGAGGAAGGGGCCUCGAAAGGUGAGAGUGGGGUGACGGCCAAGGAGGAAUGUUAGGGUUUUGUUGGGGAGAGGAAGAUGGAGAGGGACAGAGAUGGAAAGAGCUUCUGGGAAGGAAAAGGAGGUCUGGGGUUUUGACGUGGAAAAUAGAGCGGGAUUCUGCACAUAAUCUUUGUGGGAAAGAGAGAGGAUUCAUUAGAAAGAGAGGAUUUUUGACGUGUGAUUUCAGAAAUUGAACCGAUUAGGAAGAAUUAAAUAAAAAGUGACUGAUAUUUUAUUUGUUAUCCGUCCGAUGAGAUCCAACAGUUCACAAUAAGCAUAUGAUAGAUAAUAUAAUUAAAGAAAAUGUAAAAAAUCAAAUGGUUGCCGUAUAUAUAACAUGGAUUGAACGGAUGAUGUCAUAAGAACAUAUUUGACAUUAUAUUUGAACUAAGAGGUAUUUUUGAGGGGAAAAAAGAGAAUAACUCCCUCUUUUUAAAGGAGUAUAUGCAUUUCGAGAGAGAGAGAGAGAGAGAGAGAGUACGACUUGUGUGCUAUUUGGAACAUGGAGGUUUCCGUGCUUUUAAGCCAUUUUCGAUCAUUAAACUUCUGAAUAGAUGAUCAGCUUCUUUAGACUUGAUCUAACGUAUUUGAAAUAUAUAGAAAAUAAAUUUUGCGGUUUUCGAUAUCAUUUACCUAAUGAUCAAAAGGGUUUAAAAUCAACAAAUUUUAAUGGUUGAUGUAUGCCGUUUGUAAGUUUAAUGGUGUAAAAGUAUUCAAAUCGGAUGAAAUUUUGAUAGAAAUUUUUUUAUAUUAUUUACAACAAGAUUAAUAUUUCUGAUUGAAAAUUUUAGUACAUAUCAUAACCUUUUGUAAGAUUUUUAUUUUUCAACCGUUGAUUUUGAGUCCCUUUGAUCACUAGAUAAAUGAUAUCGAAAAACCCAUACAAUUUAUUUUCUAGAUAUUUCAAAUAUGCUAAAUAAAGUUUAAUGGAGUCGAUCGUCGAUUCGAAAGUUUCAUUAUCGAAAACGGCUUAGGAGGGGUUAAGGUAAUAUAUUUUGAUUCAUGCACCAACUUUGGAGGGCGAGUAGUUAUAACUUAUUUACUAAUUUAAAAAUAUUAUAAUAUUGUGUAUAAUAUAUAUAGAAUAUCAUAUUUAAAGAAUAAUAUUUUAUUUUUGACCUUGCCAUGUCCAUAUCCUAAUUUUUUUUGAAGUUGUCAAAUUGCUAUGUCCAAGUCAUGUCGUGUCCUGUGUUUGUGUCUGUAUAACAUAACCUCUUUUUGAAUUUCAAGAGGUCUCACAAAAUUCCUUUUAUUGUUAAAAUUUCUAUACAGGUAUGAAGAUGAGCCACCAGAACCUGAAAUAGAGGUAUGAAAUAGUAUUCUUUUAAAUCAAUUAGUGUGUAUCUUUUUCUUUUAAAUAGAGAAUGAAAGAAACAUCUCAUUUGUGUAGGAAGGAGCCGAGGAAGAGCCAGAAAAUAAUGAGGAUUUACCUGAUGAUGUUGUAGGUGCAGAAACAGAAGAGAAAGAGCAGGAACCGGCCGAAAGGCCUCGUAAAACAUCAAAAUAUAUGACAAAAUAUGAACGUGCUAGAAUCCUUGGGACACGUGCUCUGCAGAUUAGGUAUGUAUUCUCAACCAUCCAAGCUAUUGAGAGAGUCCCUGCUAAUUAAUUUUCUAUGAAUUUACUAUAUGUUAUUGUUUUGGACAGCAUGAAUGCACCAGUGAUGGUUGAACUGGAGGGUGAAACAGAUCCUUUGGAGGUUUGAUCCUUUCUUUUUGUGUUUUCCCCACAUCCUGUUUGUUAAAAUGAAUGUUAGCUCUAUGAUUGUUUCUUUUUUUUUAUUUUAUGUUUUUUCCUUCGUGAGGUGUCACAAGAAGACACAUAUUAUUGUUAAUAUGAAACGGCGAUCAGUGUUACCAUGCUCUGUCGGCAUGGUUUCAUUUGUCUCUGUUCGACCAUCUAACAUGGUCAGUGAGAAGAAAUUUUCUUAGGCUUAUCAUACAAUCCUGAGUAGUUCAGGGGAUAAGUGCAAUAUGGUUACUGUUUACUCAAAUGUGUGUACAGCUCUUUGAAUGUUUAAGUUGGAAUUGAAAACACCGUAAGUAAAAGCAACUAAAGAAUCCCCAUAUUACCCCUUCGUGCACAUGGAUGUCUAUGUAAUACAUAGUCAAUUUAAAAAUUUAAACAUCUUUGGAAACUAAAUUCUUUAGAACAAGCAUUAUAUUGUUUUUCUUUCUUUUUUCUUUUUUUAACAAAGUAUUAUAUUGCUAUCUCAUUAUGUUAGCAGAAAAUAAAUGGUGAACCUAGUGGGACACGGUUAUGAAAAUAUUGCUAUCUCAUUAUGUUAGCAGAAAAUAAAUGGUGAACCUAGUGGGACACGGUUAUGAUAAUAAAAUCUGGCCUACGGUCAUGAUAAUAAAAUCUGGUACUUGAAGAGGGAGAGUCCAGAUUCAGUGGCUCUAAUGAGUGUCAUUAUUGAUAUGUUUUCUUGGUUUAUUUUCUUUUAUCAACAAUUAUUCGAGCUGUUGUCAUUUCAUCUGACAUUUACAUUACUUUUAAUAAUCUUAGAUUGCAAUGAAGGAACUUCGAGAGCGCAAGAUACCCUUCACAAUCAGGCGCUAUUUGCCAGAUGGAAGGUAGUUAGAUUUGUUCUACUUGGCUUAUCAUCAUAUCUUGAUAUGCAGCAGAUAUGUUACAGUGUGUGUGUGCGCUUAUCACAUUUUGUAACAGUUACGAAGACUGGGGAGUUGAUGAGCUUAUCGUGGAGGACUCGUGGAAGAGGCAAGUUGGCGGGGACUGAGCCGUCGUUUUCCAUGAAUAAUUCGAGAAAUGUCCUAUGUAGUUGGUACCGUCUAUUUGUCUAUACCAAACAUGUUAGUGGCCCAUAGACGCAGAAUCGAUAGGCGCCUCAAACUUACGCAGCUGAUUCUGUCUAUUUUGCUAUCGUUUCAUGUAAGAAGCAUCUCGAACUAAUUAUGGUUCAGUAGGAUGGUUGAACUUGGCUUCUGCUUCUGUAUAACGGCUGGUGGAAAACAAAACAAAACAAAACAAAACAAAACAAAUCUCUAUCCGUUUGGUUCGGGUAUAAGCAAGAACUAGCUAUUACAGUGAUAGGUACAAGUAUGAGGAUAAGAAAAAUAGCGUUUGGAUAAAAAUGGGGUUAUUUUCGGGGAUAAGAAAAAUAGCGUUUGCAUAGAUAAUAUGGAAUAGGAAAAAUAUUGGGUAGUUUUAUAUAGAAAAUGGAGGUGUUGUUGGGGGUAGUUAUAUCCGGUUAUUAUAAAUAACUGAGAAUUACUAUUUUUGGAUAAAAAAUUAGUGUUUGGGUAUAAGGGAGGAUAAUGGUCUAUCCUUAUCCCUAUCUCCUAACCAAACACUGCCUUUAGCACUCAUGUGUUUCCUUUGUUUCGGUGACUUUUAUUGUUUGUGCAUCCAAUUUUAGGAAAGGUCCUGUGCUGUUGUACUGUUAUGAAAAUUUUUGGUUACUGUGCUCUCUUGUUGAGUGUGGGGCUAAAAUGAAUUAUAAUAUCUGCAGAGGGAGCCUUGAAAUCUCUUUUUCUGCAAGGUGGAAAAAAAAAAAAAUGUUAAAGUAUUUUGGGGCUUCUCACUAAUGUUUACAAAAUGGUGCUAAUUGGAGAAAUAAAUAGUUGCUGCUCUGUGGAAAUUAAUUUUAACAACAAAUAAUUAGUACUUCUUGAAAUUAAGUGGUUUUAGUUAAAAAUUUUACGGAUUUUAUCAAGUUCAUGGUGGAUUUUACUAUAUUGAAUAUUAACUUCAAUUGCUUUUUAGUAAAUGAAACUAGGUUAAUUAAUGGUUAAUAACUAAAAGAGUUGUUAAAUUUAAACUUAAUUCUAAGUAUAAAAACUGAAAUACAAAAUUAGAAGUCAAGGGAUCUCCAUACAAUUUUACCAAAAAAAUAAAAAAAUACUUCCACAUCUUUUUUGAACCUUUUAAGAGAAAAUUAAAGUGAUUGACUAUUAUAAUUUUAAAUAAGGUCUAAUAAAGCUUUUUUUUAUAUUAAUAUGCAGAUAUAGGAUUUUUUUUUAUAUAUUUUCGAUAGAACAGAAAAAUAUACAUCUUUUUAAUAUAAAGAAUAUACAUCCUUCUAACAUUAAUAAAGUUGUCUGUAAGCCGGAUCGGGUCUGGAUACUUGAUAAACUAUAUCUGUAUCCUAUUAUAUCCGUAUCCUAAACAGAAAUGGAUAGGAAUAUAUAUAUAUAUAUAUAUAUAUAGAGAGAGAGAGAGAGAGAGAGAGAGAGAGAGAGAGAGAGUUAGUCUAGAAUACUUGUAAAAGUAUCACCCAAGUGUACUUGUGUGUUUUUAGUCAUUGAUGGAGAGAUGUGAGGUUGAGAGAUGGUGUUAGGUGGAAUAGUGUUUGAUCCAAGGAAUUAGUAAUAAAAAAGUAGAUCAUGAAGAGAUGAGGUUGAGAUGAUGGUGGUAGGUGGAAUUAGUGUUUGAUCAUAAGGACUAUUAUAAUCAAAAUAGAUCCAAUAGACUAAAACACACAAUAUCACUUGUGAUACUUGUAAAAGUAUUCUAGCCCUACUCAUAUAUAAUAUAUAUAUAUAUAUAUAUAUUUAUAUAUAUAUAUAUAUAAUAUAUAUAUAUAUAUAUAUAUAAUAUAUAUAUAUGCUGGAAUACUAUUAAUAAUACGAGUGACUUAGUGCUAUUAAGUUUUCUACUCUUGAAUUAAAAGAUGUGCGUUAGGAUGAUAUAGCCCCCUAAAGUUGAGUGAUAGUUGGUUGAAUAAUAUAAUCGAAUGGAUGAAAAUACUUCCACAUAUUUUUACCGAAAUUCGAAGUCGAGGAUCUCUAUACAAUUUUACCAAAAAAAAAAAAAAAAAAACUUCCACAUCUUUUUUGAACGUUUAAGAAUAUAGAAAUUAAGAAAAUUAGUUAUUGACUAUUAUAAUUAAAUAAGGUCUAAAGCUUUUUUUAGGCCUUUUUGCAUAAAAAUCACUUUUUGGGCUUUGCAAAAUCGGGCCACUUUUUCAUUUUUGCAGAUUCGCCCGCCUUUUCAGCAAACUGACAAAAAUGCCCUUAUACAUUUUUCCUCUCUUCUUUUUUUUUUUCUCUCGUCCUUUUUUCUUUCUUUUUCCACAGAGACGUCGUCGUCCUCGGCCGUGCUCGCCGUGCUCGCCGCCUCGUCGCGAGGCUCCAUGGACACCGCCGCGCGUGCUUGGAGCGGAGUGACCCGGAGUGGCGCCCAACCGACGCCGUCGACACGUCCGGCGAGGGCCGGUGGAGCGCGCAGCGGCGCACGCGGGGGAGGGCGGGGGCGAGGCGGAGGCCCGGGGCGGGCUGGCCACGCACGCAGAUCCGCGGGCUUGAAGACCCGCGCGUGGAGCUCACCCUGUCCUCGUCUCCACGUCGAUGACGCCAUGGCGCGGAGCUCGAGGACUAAGGAAGCUCCACGGACGCGCCCGGGGCGGGCACAGCUGCGCAAUAUGUCCUUGGCUGGAGGAGGGGCGGCGACGAGGGCGGAGGCAGAGAGAGAAGCAGAGAGAGAAGCAGCAGAGGAAGAAGAAGCAGCAGAGGAGUUAAAAGAAAAAAAAAGAGAGAGAGAGGCAGAGAGAGAAGCAGCAGAGGAAGAAGAAGGAGAAGAAGUGUUAAAAAAAGGGGUGGAAAAUGGUGUAAUGGUGCAAAAUGGAAUAAUAGUGUAAUGGUGCAAAAUUGUAAUGGUGUAAUGGUGUAAUGGUGCAAAAUAGUGUAAUGGUGUAAUGGUGUAAUAGUGCAAAUGGUGUAAUGGUGUAAUGGUGCAAUAUUAUAAUGGUGUAAUGGUGUAAUGGUGUUAAAGAGUGUAAUGGUGUAAUGGUCCAGAUUGCACCAUUUAAAAAAAUUUUACACUAUUUUUUUUUUCCCUCUUUCUCUUCUUUUUCUUCUUCUUCCUCUAGAUUGCACCAUUAGCUUUUUUUUUUUCCUCUUUUUCUUCUUCUUCUUCUUUCUCUUCUUCGACGGAGGCGUCGGAUCGGCGGUGGGGGACGUAGGGGGAGACGGAUCGGGAGGCCACGAGGCGCAGCGGAGACGAUGGGCGAUGGGGCUUCAAGGUGCGGCGGCUCGGGGCCGGGGGGGCCUCGUUGUCGUCGUCGUCACCGGGCAACUAGUAGGAACGCGUAGGAACGCGCGGCGCCGGCGCCUAGUAGGAACGCGCGGCGCCAGCGCCGGCGCGGCGGUGGUCGGGCUCGGGGUCGGUGCGGGGGAGGUCGACGAGGAAGUAGAGCUUCCCCGGCUUGAGCGGGGCGUCGGGGUCGAGCGGCCGGGCUCGGAGUCCAACGCUCUUGACCUCCUCAGACUCGAGCACGGCAAAUCCCUGGUGGUCUCGGAGGUCGACGUCGGCGCCGAACUCCAGCAGCAGCUGGACGAGGUCCGGCCGGCCCUGCGCGAUGGCCGAGUGCAGCAGGCCGACGCCGGACGCGUCGACGGCGUCGGCCGGGCGCCACUCCGGAUCGCUCCGCUCCAGCACGGCGCGGGCGGCGUCCAUGGAAAAGAAAGAAAAAAGAACGAGAAAAAAAAAGAGGAGAGAGAAAGAGGAAAGAGAAAAAUGUAUAAGGGUAUUUUGGUCAGUUUGCUGAAAAAGCGGACCGAAUCUGCAAAAACGAAAAAGGUGGCCCGAUUUUGCAAAAGCCCAAAAUAAGUGAAUUUUUUAUGCAAAAAGGCCCUUUUUUUAUAUUGAUAUGCAGAUAUAGGAUAUUUUUUUAUAUUUUCGAUAGAACAGAAAAAUAUACAUCAUUCUAAUAUAAAAAAUAGGAAAAACUUCAAAUAUCCCCUUGUGGUUUCACUUUUUCUCACUUUAAUACCAUAUGGUUUAAAGUGUAUCAAGUUAGUACCCUGUGGUUUUGCACUUUUUUACUUUAGUACCCUAUGGUUUAAAGGGUAUCAAGUUAAUACCAUGUGGUUUCGCACUUUAUCAUUUUAGUACCUUGUGGUUUCGCACUUUAUCACUUUAGUACCCUGCGGUUUAAAAACCACAUGGUACUAACUUGAUUCAAAAAUAAAACCACAGAGUAAUAACUUGAUACACUUUAAACCACAGGGUACUAAAGUGAGAAAGUGAGAAACCAUAGGGUACUAACUUAGUACACUUUAAACCACAUGGUACUAAAAUGAAAAAGUGCGAAACCACAGGGGGGUUUUGAAGUUUUUCCUAAAAAAUAUACAUCCUUCUAACAUUAAUAAAGUUGCCCGUAAGCCGGAUCGGGUCUGGAUAGCCGAUAAACUAUAUCCGUAUCCUAAACAGAAAUGGGUAGGGCAAAAAAAAAAAAAAANAAAAAAAAAAUAUAUAUAUAUAUAUAUAUAUAGUUGAGCUGGAAUGCUAUCGUAGCAAACGGGCUCCGUUGCCAGCCAUUUGUUUUUGAUGAUGGAGCCUUCGAAUUGACGAUCGACACCAUUGAAUAUGAUCUAUACCACUUAAAGUAUUUAUAAACCAAAUUUCAAAUCUUUUCGAUAUCAUUGACCUAAUGAUCAAAAAAUUUCAAAAUUUAUAAUUUUAGUGGUAGAUAUGAGGUGUUUUCGCGUUUAACGGUGUAAAGUUAUCCAAAUCAAUUGAAUUUUGGUUAGAAAAUUCUUUAAACUAUUUAGAACAAGAUCUAUACUCUUGAUCAUGAUUAUAAAAUUUCUAUCAGCACUUUUUAGAGGAUAUUAAUUUUCAGCCGUUCAUUUUUACGCCCACUUGAUGGAUAAGAGAACAAUAUCGGAAAAACAUGAAAUUUGAUUUCUAGAUACUUCAUGUGGUAUAGAUUAUGUUCAACGGUGCCGAUCGUCGAUUUGGAGGCUCCAUCAUCGAAAACAAAUGGGUGGCAACGGAGCCCGUUUGCUACCGAUAGUAUUCCAGCUCAAUUAUAAAUAUAUAUAUAUAUAUAUAUAUAAAAGCACGUAUAUUCAAAUUUGGGUCUGUCGACAGACCCAUUUUUCGGCGGAAAAAUUAGCGCCCAUUUUUCUCUUUCCGUACGAAAAAUUUUAAAUAUAAGAAUAAAAAUAGAAAUAGAAACAGCAAUGAAUACAUAAGUUCUCUAUAACAGAUUAUUGAUGAGAAAAUUCUAAAAUAUAAAUCUUUUUAUUUAAUUUCAAAAGUAAGUUUUCUAUAACAGAUUACGGGUGUGAAAAUCCUAUAAAAGAUAUUUUCCUAUUUUAUUUUAAAAUAUUUUUUUUAGAUAUUAUCUUUUUAAUUUCAAAAUAUAUAUUUUUUUUAAGAUAACGAAUUUUAUUUUUCUAUUUAAUUUCAAAAAUUUAUUUCCUAACAGAUUUUAUUUUUCGAUUUUAAUUUCAAAAUUAAUUUUUGCAUUAGAGAUUAUUGUUAAUUAUUUAUCAUUUAAAGCAUAUCUUUCUUAAUAGCGUGAUUUAUUAUUUUAAAUUUUUUAGAUACAUAUUUGGCAAUCAUAUAAAAUAUGGCCUAAAAUUAAAAAAUAAUUUAAAAUUAUUAUAACUUUUUCUAAUAAUUAUUAUGUGUAUUUGCACGUACAUUUUACUAGUAUAUAUAUAUAUAUAUAUCUUAUCCAUUUUAAGCGGGUCUGGAUAGUGAAUUAGUGACUACCCGUAUACUACCUGUUUAAGACCGGAUAUGGAUCGGAUACGUGUCAGGAGUAUGAAUAUCUAUAUGCAUAUAUUUUUAUAGAUUUUAUUAAACAGUUUAUAGACAAACUAUAAACCUCUCACUAUAAAAAAGUAGCGUUCUAAUUAAUUGCACCCAGUACAAUAAAAUUCGUUUAAAAAAAAGAUUCAAACAAUAAACAGCUAGGGUUGAAAAAAAGGAGUAACAAAAAAAAAAAUUAAAAAAAGUAGUAAAUAGAAUGACUAAGGUUUUCACAAAAAUGAAAAUAUGCAGUGACUUUUCAUCUAUAAAAUUGAUCCUUCAACUUCAAAAUUUUUUUAAUUCAUUAUCCGGUAUUCACCGGAUUCGGAUUUGGAAAGUCUUCAGGAUUCUACCCACUAAAAGGUCGAUUUCGGAUUGAGUCCAAGUCGGAUAUGUAUAUAAAGUAUUCAAAUUCAUGCCGAAAUUUUGAUGAAUAAGUUUUUUUUACUUGUACACUCUUUUUUUUAUCAGUCCGGGUAGGGAUCAAAUCAAAAUAUGAAAUAUUAGAUAUUUUGAAUAGUUUUAAAUAUUAAUAUACAGAUAUAAGAAUAUAUUUUAUCGAUUUAUUAUGGUACGGAGAAGAUGAUAUUAAAUACAAAAAUAAAAUAAAAUUUUGUUUGAUAUUUUCCAUGUAACAAAAUAUCUCGGUAAUAUCAAAUACAGCCUUUUAAUACAUUGUAGUAAUUAUAGUGGACAAGAAAAGGUGGGGAGCAAGUCACGUCAUUAUUUGUCCUCUCCUAAUAAAGGAGACUAUGAUAUGUACUAAGCAUUUUAUUAUUGUUGUUAUUUUUUAUUAGUUUUUAUAGGUUAGGAAUCUUACCCUUAUCCUUUCUUUUAAGGAUUAAAAUAUUUAUCGAACCGUAACCAUCGAAUUAUAUCAUGUCAAUAAAAUAUCGAUAUGAUACAGUUUUCGUACCGAUGGCAUAAUUCAAAACUCUUUAUUCUUAAAAUUAGUAAAUAUUUUUUUAAUAAAAUUUAAAAAAUUUGAUAAAAAUACAUAAUAAAUAAUUGACAUAAUUUUUUGUUAAGAAAAUAAAUAUUUUUUGUCAAUACGUAUAUAUAUAUAUAUUUUAUAACCGGCACGUAUUUGAUACGGCUCGAUAUGCACUGUGUCAUACCGUGUUGAAAAAUUUUUGGCAUGGCAUAGCCCAUGCCACGGCAUUUAAAUCUCUGCUCACUGCAACUAAAAUACGCGUGAAAUGCCCAAGUUCUUAGGUGACUUGAUUUUCAGGGUGUUAGCGUCAACAAUUGUACUUUUUCGUUAGGAAUUGGAAUCCUUCAGUUGGAGGAUUCAAAGUUGUCAAAUUAUUUAAAGCAACUAUUAUUUUUUAAAAAUUUAAGCUAACAAAAAAAUAAUAUUUUUAAUUCUUAUAUUUAAUAUUUUUUUACGUCCAAACUUUAAAAUAUUUUGAUAGAUUCGAAACAAAAACUUAAAUUCAAAAGAAAAAUAGGAUCUCGUGCCAUGUUAAAUUAUAUUAAAUAAUUUUUAUUUUUCAAAAGGUUAAGCUAUCUCUCAGGCGUUCGAGAUUGUUUGACGGUCUCGAUGUAGGGUUCUUGUUCUGAUAUUAUGUUAAAUUUUAAAAAAUGACUGUUGUUUUUCGAAAAGUUAAGUUAUCAAAGAAUAAUUAUUUUAAUAUUUAUCUUCCACAAAAGUCCCUCGGAGUGUUCGGUUACGGAGAAAAAAAAAUUCAGUACAUAAUUUUUUGGUUGAAAAAUAUUUUCUCUCUAUUUAGUUUUCAAAAAAAAUAAUUUUUUUAUAAAAAUUGGGUUAAUGUGUAAUAAAAUUUACCUGAACUAAAGACCAUUUCGUUUCAACUAUUCAACCUUUUAAAAAUUUGAUUUUAAUAUCCAAUCUUUUAAUUAAUUUGAUUUAAACAAUUUAAACGAUACAAAAAUAUUGUCGGAUCAUGGAUUGUUUGUUCAAACACACAGGUUCAACAUCAGACUUGAAAGACGGCAACAUACGUCAUACAUAUUUAAUUAUUAUAUUUUAUAGCGUACAUAAUAAAAAUAUUUUAGAUAUAGUGUUCUAUAUUAUUUUUAAAUGUUAUUAUAUUAUAUAUAAUUAAAAAUAUAUCCACAGUGCAUAUUGUUAAAGAACUGAGGAUUAUUUUAAUUAAUUAUUGAAAUUUAAACAAAAUUGUCCCGUUCUUAUUCUUAUAAAAUCAAGCUGCUUCACCGGUUCACUAAACAAUCUGAACAAGUCAAAGUAGGUUUUAAGUCAGUCCGAUUUUAUGGGUUAAGCUGAAUCAGGUUCGGCACUAGGUUAUGAUUUGACCAAUCCGACCAGCUAAAUUCGAUCCUAAUUUUAAAAUAUUGCUAUAAUACACUGACAUCUUGAUGCUCGAACUAUAUUUUAUAAUUUUUAGCUCAAAUUUUCUUAACUGUUGCAAUCAAGUCCCACACUUCCGUUAGCGAAUUGUAUGCUGAUAUGUUGUUGAUGUGACAAUAAUAUCAUAUUAUUAUCAUACUAACAAUAUUAUAUUAGUACUAUCAUUUAGUCAGCUAAAUUACAAUGUAAAAAUUAAUUCAAAAAGUUGAAGCAAAAAAUUUGGGGGACAAAAAAAAAUAUAACAUAAUGUGGAUUGUAAUAUUUGGAGAAAAAUAAGUUCAAAAGGGAGCAAGUCCAAAACAAGCAACUUAUUAAUGCAUUAACAAAUCCAUACGCUGUCACGUACACGGCCGUUGAAAUAAUUAUAAAAUGCCCCUUGAAAAUAUCCUUUCUUAAAAAAAAAAAAAAAAAUGAAAACCAUGGGACUAGGUUGACUUUGGACGUGAAAAGUGUAGCUUGUUUUGUUGUUAGGUUUCUAAUUUUUUAAUUUUAUGUCAGUUAGGUUUCACUAUUCAAAUUUUUAUUAAUUUUGACGAAAUAGUUUACAUCAGCUUCAACGAAGCUUUACCCACUUAUAUAGAUUACUAUUAUAGUCCAAUAGUCUUUUGUCAAUCUCAGUAUCGAUUUUUCUAAGUUUUUAGAAGAGUUUGAUGGCUCACUUGGCUUGACAUUAAGAAUACUGCAUGCUCCAAAAGAAGCAAUACGUGCCGCGUGCAAGAUUGAGGAGGCCGUAAAUAUUGAGAGUGGCGAGAUUGAGCUUGACGAUGGGUGCACACAUGGCAGAUGAGGUAGGAACCAAAUUGGAUACAUAGAUAAGACAAUCGUUAUUUUUCAAUAGUCUAAACUAUCAGAGAAUAAUAUUUAUAUUUCUGGUCUGAUAUCAUGUUAAAUUAUAUAAAAUAACUGUUAUUUUUUAAAAGUUUUAAGCUAUUAGAGAUUUUUUUCAAUCUCCCUGAUUCUUUUAUUUUUUAUAGAAUUCAGUGUGUGAGCUUGCAAUAUCUUCAAGAAAUAGAAGAAAAUGAUAAAGAUAACUGAGUCAUGAACAACAACAACUCAAUUGAAAUAAAUUAUAAGGGUUGAAAGCUCAGUUAACAAAAAAAAAAAAAAAGUUAAAGAACUAAUUGAGAAAACAAGAAAAGAUUGGGACCAAUGGUGUGAUUAAUCCAAAUGUAAAAUUGGGUAAAGAUUAGGGACCCGUGAGGCAAUUAAUUCUUUCCAAACUUAUGCAAGUGAUAAAUGGUAAUCAUGGAGAUAAUGCAUUUCCAAAACAACCAUUGUUAUAAGUUAACUCACCUAAUAUAUGACUCUUUACAUCACACAUACGCAUACUUUCUGCUUAAAAAAAAAAUUUGAUCCCGAGCCAUAUUGAUUGCAGAAGUCGUUUGUAUCAGGAGAAGCAAUUAGUAGAAAUUUAUAUUCGAACAUUCUAGUUUUGUGAUACUCGAAAAUAGUAUGUUCCUCGUUUCGUUCAUUAUUUUAGAAAUGAGUUUAUCUAGAAAUGUGAAGCAACUAAGUCUCAAUCUAGAAUAUCAGUUAUCAAAUCUUUUGCCACUUAUAUUAAAAAUGAUUGCGUCUACAUUUUUUUAAAAAAAUUAAUAUUUAUAUUUGACUGUUGUAUCUAGGGGUUAAAAAAUUAUUUUAGAAAUCAGGCCAAAUAAGUUGGCUUUCGAUUAAUGGUAAAAACUAUUGUUUAUGAGUUUGUUUGUACAUAAAACCAAUGGUUUUUCUUUUUCUUCUUUUUUUUUUAACUUGAAAGAGAACAAUAAUAAGAUAUCCACUUAGUUUAUUUAUUUAAAAGAAUAAACUUAGCUAGAAAUAUUAAGCAAUUACGCUUCGAACUUCAAAUCUCGCCAACUACAUUAGAUACGAUCAGAUAGCAUAUAAUGCGCGCAUUGUUACGCUUCCUUACAACUUUUAUACCAUUUUAUAAACAUGUAUAUACAACCAUAGCUAUUUGGAAUAAAGAUGCAUACUACGAACGACAUAUGUAUGAUUUACAAGAUCGAGAAAGAAAUCCAAUCUUUAAUAACACAGUUUGUAAAAUAAUUAAUAUCGAAGUUAUUAUUUAUGUUGCAGACAUAAUAUUUUCUUUUUUCCUCCCACAAACUCAUACAAUAAACUUAAUAUUCUUUUAAAUAUUGGAGGGCUUAUUUAGAUUUUUUUUACUGAACUAUUUUGAAAGCUAAAAUAACUUGAAAAGUUAAUGUAUCGUUUACUUAUAUGUGAUCAGCAUCGCUUUUUUCCUUUUUUUAAAAAAAAAGUAAUAUGCAACCUGCUUAGUUCAAUAAGAAAAUAAAUUAGGCUACAUAAAUGAGACAACAGAGUCUCAAAAAAAACAACAAAUAGCAACCAAAAAGCAAAAAAACUAAAACCAAAAAUAAAAAAUAAAUUACAGUUUACGAAUAAUAAUACAUCAACUGCCUUCAGCUACUAUAGUGAUCUUUCCAAAGCACUUUUAAAUUACGGAUUUUUCUUAGAGUACUGUCUAUAUUAUUUUUCAAAUUUUGAAAUAUUCUGUUAUUACUUUCCAACCACCACAGCAAUGGUUAGAAAGUCUUUCCUCUUUUUCGUAAUAUCCGUCUGUAUUCGACAAGCUUCUCAAAAGUCCUCUAUCGUCGUGUUACUUAAUAUUGCAUCAGGAUUAGGUAGUAGACGGAAAAGCAAGUAUUUGACACACAAUUUGGUUUAUUUGAAUGAAUUUUACAAUUUAAUUUACAGUAAAAUUUGUUCAAUAAUAAAAUGGUUUCAAAAUUUUCAUCUCAUGCGGAUCAUUGUUAUCACUUUCAGAAUCACGUAAAUACUAAAUAAAUAUCUUAGAUAAUAUUUGACGUUAUUAAUUGUCAAAAAUUACGUGGAAUAAAAUUCCCUCUUUUAUUUACGAAAGUAUUAAUUCUAAUUAUACUCUAAUUAGAAAAUCAACAUAUGCGACAAACUGACCGACAGUAUUCAAAAGAAAUAAAAAAAAAAAUGAUAGUAAACUUUUUUUUGUGUACUAAAAUACCUUAUUAAAUUACUUAAAUUAUAUGAUAAAGCUAACAUGUACACAACUAAUUGUGACCACAACUUUUUGAAAAACAGAGCUGAUUUUAUUAUUAUUAUUAUUAUUAUUAUUAUUAAAUAUUAAACACACCAACAUUAUGCUUUUUCUCAUGCGCGUAAUUGUCGUAAUUGUCUCGCUGACGAUGCGCCACGUGGCUGCGGAUAGAGCACGAGCGACAGAAUCUAUAUUUGACUUUUGCUGACUCGGAUACACGCUUAUGGGCGGGGCCCAGAAUUUUUUAAAAUUAUUUUAUUAUUAUUAUUUGCCUCUUGUUUGUUAUUUAUUAUAGCAAUGCCACAUGUAGGAGUGAAAGUUGUUAGGAUAAAGUGAUAAACUCCAAUCGAAUUCGAUACUUAAUUUGAUGGAAUAAGAGAAUUUGACACUUUCAUUGGAAUGUGAAUAUGAACUUUUCAUGGAGGUAUAUAAAUAAUUGCUUUUUUCUUUUUUUUUUGUAAGAACUUCAAUUUUUAUUGUUAAAUACACAAAGCUAUUAACUUAUAUGAAUUCCUAAUAUUUUUAUCACGUGGUUAAGUUUUCUUUCAACCUCAUCUCCUAUUCAAUGACCUUGGCUUUUCCCCUCCCCUCCUCUCUGUUCAGUGACCUCUAUUCAAUGUACGUUACUUAUUUUCUUUUUCAAUAUAUUGGUCAUUUCUUCUUCCUCAAACUUCUUUUCAAUGCUAAACCCUUCACCUCCCUCCCUUGAAAUCAUGAAAAUUAAUUAAUCCAAUUUGAAAUCAUGAAAAUUAAUUAAUCUAAAAUGCAACAUUUAAAUAUAUGCACCGUAUUCCACCAAUGAGUGGGCUUUAUAACUCUAAUCCAUUUCCCACCUCCAUUAAUCCCCCGCGCCUCUCUCUUUUGUAUGACCUGUUAUUUUUCAUGCAAAAAAGAACGUCAUCAGCUAAUCUCUCACUCCACACUUAUCUAGCUCUCUCUCUCUCAUUGUGUUAAUGAAGAUGAUGAGGACGAUGAAGAAGAACGUGCAAAGAAUAUUGUCUCUUUCGAAAAGUAUCAUCCUGGAAAGUCGAGCCAUGUCCUAUAUAAGUAUCCGCUGGGUUGAUUCAACUGCGUUGGAGCUAGCUCUUUUUUAUCUUUCAUAAUGGAAUGUUCAAGAGGCACAUAAUAUAAUAAAACUGUAUAUCUCUUACUAUAUUUUGAUGAUUUUUUAAAAAUUAUAUAAGCUUUUAACUAUAAUUUUAUUUUUUUAGUAGUUGAAUUUAGUCAUGCAAAUUGACUGUGCUUAAUAUGGUAUAGCUUUCUAUACAUCAAUAAGCUGUAAAUAUAGAUUUUAUUAAAAUUUUAAAAUUUUGCUUCUAUUAUCUAUCCGCCGUAUCACGCGGGUCUCUACACUAGUAUAUAUUAAAACACCAUUUUCUUGUAACAUAAUAUUAAAGCGGAAAAUCCUAAGUUCGAAUUUUACCAAGCCGUUAACAUAAUUAAUUGUUCUUAUUGAAUUCAAGUUAUGAACUUGGACAAAUAAAAAGCUAUCGAGCUCACACGUGAGAGAGAGAUGGGCAGGGAAGAGUGUAUUGAAUAUAAAAUAUUAAAAUAAUUAUUUAAUAAUAUUAUUUUUUUUUGAGAGAGAUAGGUAGCACGCUACUUUUUUCGUUUAUUUCAUUUAGAAAUAAACUUAGCUUAAAAUGUGAAUCAACUAGAAUUCAAACUUUGGACCUCAGAUACCAACCAUCAAACUCUUUGCCACUUGUUUUAGAGACGGUCGGUAACAUUCGUUUGAGAGUUUAGUGUAUAUUAACAAUAUAAUAUAUUUGGGAAGUUAUAAUAUUUUACCAUACACUAUGUUACAUAAUAUUAUAGUAAUAUAUAAAAACAAUCACAUGAUAAUAAUGUAAAAUUUUUUAAAUUUUAUGGAGGCGAAGUUAUUAAAAGAAAAUGUCCUAAUCAAAGGGCUAAAGUAUGGAGAGGGAUUCAAAAUCGGGUAGAAGCCUCUAGAAUCUAGUGCAACAUAGCCCUCACUUUCCACAAAACCAAUUUAUUUAUUUGAGCAUCAUAAAAUAUGGACACUGUUAAAAAUAUUUAUGUACUAUAUAUUUAUUGAUCUUUUAUUUUAUUAUAUAUUUAAACCAAAUUAUGAAUAACAAAUUUUUUUUACUAUUUAGAAUUUGAAUUAUUAAAUAAAUGUAUCAGCUGAAUAAAAAUUUAUUGAAAUUGCGUGCAAGCAAUAUUUUUUUUUAAUGAAAGGACUACUAUAAAAAAAAUAUUGGUAAAAAUGUAUAGAAUUUAUUUGAGAUAUUGACUAAUUUUUUCAAUGAAAGGACUACUAUAAAAAAAAUAUUGUUAAAAAUGUACCAAUUUAUUUGAGCUAUUGACCAUUUUUAUUUAGCUACUCAGUCUUUCAAAAUUUUGAUUUUAAUAUUUUAUCUUUUAGUUUGUUUGAUUUGAAUUAGUCAAUGACGUUUUGACUUCAAAAUUUAACUGUAUUAUUUAUUUUUAAAAAUUUAAUUAGUAUAUUUUACACAAUUCUCGCAACUAUAAAUUUAUUAAAGAAAAUAGCUUAAAUAUUGAUGUCAAAGCGUUGUUGACUGACUUAUCAAAUAAAUUAAAAGAUGGGGUAGUAAAAUUAAAAUUAUAAAAGAUUGGAUAUCCAAAUAAAAAUGAUAUAUAUUUUAGGUAAAUUUUAUAUGUUUUUAUCUAAAAUACUUUUACAAGUUUAGGGACUAAAAGAAAAUUUUAUCGAAAGUUUAUGGUCUAAAAUGUUGAAUCCAAAAGUUAAACAACCAAAAUAAAAUUUGAGAGAGACUAGUAACAUAAUUUAAUCACGAGCUAUGCUACUAAAUCAACAUUUUUUAAUUCUUUUUUUCACAAAAAAUCAAUAAAUUUUUUGCUAUGUGGAAAAGGGCUUGUGAAAAACUACUUUUAGUAUAAUUUACAUCACCUAUGCGAGGUAUAAAUAUAAAUAUCAAGAUUUUAAAAUUAUUUUAUGAUUUUGUUUAUCUGAAUUUUAGAGUCACUAUUUUAAUAAAAUAAUAGUUGUAUAAUUAUAUUUUACUUAAAAUUUUAAUUUAUUUAGAUAAUUAAAUUAAAAUUUUAAAAAGAUUAGACGGUUUAACCAAGAUUAGUUAUAAUUAAGAUAAGUCCGAAUCAUUUUCACCCGCUUUAUAAUUAAUUAAUUAGGUGCGCAUGCAUUUAUGCGAUGUGCCAUUGCAUGCAUGGAUGUAUGCGGGUGUCCGCAUGCGACGUUUCCGAAUUCGACCCUGGAAUGGCGGGGCCCACUAGGGGCAUUUGGGUAAAUGUGAUGAUCGUGGGCCGUCCAGCUGUCCAAAACCCGACCUUGACCACGACACGUCGCCGUCGUUUCGAUGGGAACAGGAACCAGGGAUUUUUAUUGCCUGCACCCGGUGUACACUUGUGUUUCGUGCACCACAGUACCUCGAAAUAAAAUUUUAAUUUAAUCGAAAAUAUAGUAUCGUGUAUAAUAGUUAGGACUUGGGAGUGCAUGUGUAAAAGUUACGAGUUUUUAAAAAUUUGAUAUUCUUUGAUUCAAUGAAAAACCCAGUAAUUUAUAAUUUUCAAUAUAUAAAUCUUUCAAAUAUUAUAUAAUUUUUAUAAAAUAAAUAUGUAUGAUAGAUAUUCUGUAGGUGAACUAUAAUGUAUUUUUUGUCGGAUCGUUAGCACUAAUCAUUAAUCUCAAAAGUCAGUGAUUUUUUACUCUGAUACUACUUGUCGAGUUGUUAACACCAACUAUUAAUUCUAAAAAUUUGAGUUGUUAAAAAGAUAUAAUUAAUUCAUUUAAAACGUACGAGCAUACUACCUACAAAUCUUGACUGUAACUCGGCUCAACUAAUCUCCCGUUAUUUUGAGUAUGACUCAAACCAAUCUGACUUGCUAUCAUUUCAAACAUAACUCCGCUCAACUUGACUCCUGCAACAGAGUAAUAGGAUGCUGGCUCCUUUAAACCAACAUUUUAAAUAAUUUAACAUUUCUUUAUCAACUUCUCUAAUUUUUUUAAUUUAAAUAAUUUAACAUUUCUACUGACUGUCCCUAGAGCAAGUGGCAAAGGACUUGGUGGUUGGUACCUGAUACCCAAGUUCGAAUUCUAGUUGAUUCACAUUUCCAGCUAAGUUUAGUUCUAAAAUGAAAUAAACGAAGCGGGUAGCGUGCUACCUAUCUCUCUCAAAAAAAAUUAACAUUUCUUUGUUAUAAAAUUUGUUAGUCCAAUUCAAAUUAAGAUAAAUUAAAAAAAAAAAUCAAAAUGAGACACAUGCUUCAUAUGAAGUUUAUGUAACUUUACCUACAAUAAAAAAGCAUAUUUAUUUACCUACAAUAAAAAAGCAUAUUUAUUUAAGAUUGUAUAGUGUACGAGAUAUAUGAGUACACUGCAUGCAUCCAACAAUUUCUCAAUAAACAUACGACCUCAAUACCUAAAAUUCUCAAGCAUUAUAAAAGUCGCGAUGCGGGAAAAAAAAGAAAAAAUCUCUCCUGUUACUUUCGGCGUAUUCCUUUUUCUUUUAAUUAAUAUAAUAAUAUUGGGAUUGGAAUGGGAAUAGGAAUGUAGCGAAAAAGAGAAAAGAAAAUAAUAUAAAAGCCAUUCUCAGCAGAAAAAAAUCGAUUAGCGUUCGUAACUCCGUUCGUCACCUCUCCUCGCCGUCGCCAUCGUCGUUGUUUCGUCGACACCAAAACCCUAGUUUCCGGCGCGAGCGGCGGCGGGGGGAGUUGCUAGGGUUAGGGUUUGGGGGGGAUGGGGGCUGGGGUGUCGAGCAUCAUGGGGCCGGAGGGGGAGGUGGGCGCGGAGGGGGCGGAUACGGGGCUCGGCGACCUACCGGAGAGCUGCGUCGCCGCGGUGCUCCUCCGCCUAGAGCCGCGCGAGAUCUGCGACGCGGCGCGGCUCAGCCGCGCGUUCCGGGGCGCCGCCGCCGCCGACUUCGUGUGGGAGGCGAAGCUCCCGGAGAACCACGGGUACCUGAUGAGCUUCGUAUCGGAGGGGGCGGAGAGGGGCAAGGGUUUCGUGUGUAAGAAGGAGAUCUACGCGAGGCUCUGUCGCCCGAUUCGCUUCGAUGGUGGCAACAAGGUGAGUGUUCGAUCCUUAGAUCAAGUUUUUUUGUAGAAUUUCAUCCGUAAAUUGGUUUUUCUUUUCCCCCAAAUUUAGGGUUCUUAUAGUAUUUGUUGAUGGGUGUUGAUUGAUUUGGUGCUUUUGUUGUGGUUUCUUGUAGGAAUUUUGGAUGGAGAAGCGCAGGAGCGGGAUUUGCAUGGCGAUUUCAUCCAAGGGGUUGGCGAUCACUGGUGUUGAUGAUAGGAGAUAUUGGAAUCACAUCUCAACAGAGGAAUCUAGGUAUUAAAUUUUUUCUUAUUUUGUUUUGGAUAUAUGUACCAAUUUUUACUAUGUGUUUUCUACGACUCGAUAUCAUUUUACUAUUCGAACUUUUAAUUUUUUAAAUAACUAUUAUUUUCUCAGGGAUCUCUCUGCACUGUACUUACUUUAGAGAAUUAGUUCAUUUGCUAUAAGCUGUACUCUUUUUUAUCCCUUCUUAAGACACUACUAAAAUAUUAUUUUCUCGCGAAUCUCGACGCUGUUGUCUAUUGUUGUAGAUAGAAAAAGAGCAAUUUUCUUCGGAGGCAUUGGUUGGAGGUAACAGAGAUCAUACCUUCAAUCCAUUUUGGGGGAAAAAGAGAUAGAUCCAGUGAAUUGUUCUCAAUAAUUUUUUCAGCCAUUUAAUGGUGCUUUUUUAUUUUUUCCACCAAAUUGGAUGAAUAGAUUUAUGUUAAAAUGAGUGUAAAAUGAUGUCUUUGGAAAGAAACUUAGUAAAUCGUGGAAAAUAAAGCCAGUCCCAAAGUAAGUGAUUUGUAAUUAAGCCCUUUUUUUUAAUUGAAAACUCAAGUUCAAGAUCAAAUUUUUACAUGUGAUUUUUCCUUUUCUAGCAUCCUAAUCCAAAUUUUCUCAUAUAAUAUUUUUUGACUUCUAGAAUUCUCGGUUGUUUUAGUAGCCUAGGCAUGCUUGUUCUCCACCUUGACAUGUGUAUUGUCUUUUAAUUAGUCAUUUAAUAGAGGCUCUUGUCCUGAUAUGAACUUAUUGAUUUGUUGUAAGCACAGCAAUAGAGUCCGGUACCUUUCGGACAAGUAUAUAGUUUGGUUUGUCCAUUAGAAUAAGGUAAUCUCAACUAUUUAAUGUUGUUUCUGUGUGUGCCAACUAUAAAACAUUGUACAUCGUCAUCUAGUGGCUUAAGUUUUUAGGGAAAAAAAGAAAGGAAAAAGACAGUUUCAACUUUCAGAUGGUAUCUGCUAUUUAAUUUUUUUUAAAAAAAGCCCGCCUCUGCCCAUUAAUUCAAACUCGAGUUCUGAGGCUUAUUAAAAAGUUUUGAGCCUAGACGUGGGGAAAGUGUUUAGUUUAAAAUGUUAAAACACUCUUCUCAAGUAGAUUCAACUUUUAGGAGUUGUAAUUUAGAAGCUGCUUUUUAAGCUAACUAAUUGCUUACAAACGUAAUAGGUUUGCUUCAUAGUUGUUUGCAAUUUAUUUAUUUAUUUUUUACUUUCUAGACUAGUAGAUUCUUCUUUUAUCUAGGGUUUUUAUGAAUCUUGUCAUUCUGUUGGGUCUGUCGUGUGGAAAAGCAAUUAGCUGGUUUCACGCAUCUGUUGUUUUAGGAAUUAAGAAGGGAGUCUGAUAUUGUUUGUUUCUAGUUUUAUGUUGAAAACAAUAUAAGGAAGAAUUUUGUUGGUUCUAAUAAUUGGCGAUGCAGGUAAUCAUGGGAGAAAGUACUAAGAAAAACUAAGAUCAAAACCUUGUUUAAAUUUUGUGCUACACUUACAGUCAAUCAAUAAUGCUUUUUUGGACUUUCAUACGCUAAAUAGAAACGUUAACAUCAACUUUUCUUCUGAAGCCUUUCGGCAUACGGAUUUGCUCCAGCACAUCCUUGUAUGAUUGUUAUUGAUUCAGAACCUAUUUAUCAGUAUUGGUACGGUCCUUUGUUCGGCUUCAGCAUACAAACAAAAAGUGUGGGUCUGGGCAUUAUGCAGUACAUUUUAGCUAAUUGUUUGAUUAGCAAAUGGAGUCUUUUAUAUUUUUCUCUUUUUGAUGUUAAUUAAUAUACUCUUCUUUUUUCAAAAAAAAAAAGAGAAUAUCGUUUUUUAAUUUGUAUAUCAUGUAUAACAUCUAAACUCUCCCUUUAUUGAUUUUGGAACAACCUCAUCUACUUGGCGAACAUUUAUUUAUAACUAUUAUUUUUCACUGCCAACUGUCUUUGAGACACUAACAAAAGAGCGAACACACCUUUACCCACGUAAAAAUUGCUUGUAUGUAAUUGUUUUCUCUUUUAUCAUGAAGCCAUAUAAUCAAUCCUCUUUACUGGUGCCACUUGAAAAUUCAACUAAUGGAAAACAAAUUCACGCAGAUUCGGAUCCGUGGCAUACCUCAUGCAAACUUGGUGGUUUGAAGCGGCCGGAGAAGUCGACUUCUGCUUCCCGGCAGGUAAAUACAGCCUGUACUUCAGACUCCAUCUGGGCCGGGCCUACAGGCGAUUGGGCCGCCGACUCUGCAACUCCGAGCACGUCCAUGGCUGGGAGAAAAAGCCCGUCCAGUUUCAGCUUUCCACCGCAGAUGGUCAGCACGCUCGAACCCAUUGUCACUUGGCCGAGCCCGGCGCUUGGAUCUUGUACCACGUCGGCGAUUUCAUUGUACCAAACUCGAGUGUACCGACCAAACUCAAGUUCUCGAUGACGCAAAUCGAUUGCACACACACGAAAGGCGGUCUUUGCGUCGACUCCGCGGUAAUAUACCCAAAGGGGUUUAGGCAGGGAAAGGCUUAUACAGCUUGCAUGUAAUUUCUUUUAGGGGUGGGCAGUGUAGUUUACUGGAACAGGAAUGCAUACUAGGGUACUGGCCUGCUUUUUCCCUAGGCAUCUGGUAUGCUCUGUAACAUGUAUAUAUUAGUUUGUAGAAACAGUUUUGAUCUGCUGUGAGGGGCUUUUCUUGUGAAUUAAAAAGAGAGUUUGCAAGAGAAUAGUUGUCUGAUCCCAUAUGUUUGAGUGGUUCUGUUUCUGUUUUUCAGUAACCAGUAAUAAUUUUUUUUUUUUUAGUUGGUGUUGCUUCUACUCAUGAUAAAAGUACUAAAUUAUGCUUCUCUAUAUGGCCUCAUUAGGAGUAAGGGUAUUACCUUUUUAGCCAAUUUCACCAUGUCCUCUUGUGCAACGUAUUAUUAUGAUAUUGAAUUGGUAAAAAUGCUCAGCAGUUAUUCCAAUUAUGAACUAUUUGGAAUCAGCAUUCAAUUUUUCAUUUUGACUCCAAAAUUUAAAUGCGUCGUUUAUCUUUAUAAAUUUAGUUAGUAUAAACUUCAUAAAAUUCUCGCAACUAUAAAUGUAUUAAAGUAAUUAGUUUAAAUUUUGAAGGUGCUGUAUUAUUGACUAAAUCAAAUCAGCUAACUUGGAAAGUUGAGCAGUAAAAUUAAAAUUUUAAGAAGUUUGGGCAGUGAAUUCAAAAUGAUCUAUAGUUCAAAUAAGCUCAAAAUGAUCUAUAGUUCAAAUAAGCUCGGCACGUUUUUACCUAUUGAAUUAUGUUGCGACGCAAAUUGAUAAAUGGAUGGCAAAAUAUCCUGUUCUCAUGGUGUGGAAUGUGGAUCUCUAAUUACUCCGGGGUCUCUUUGUUUCAACAUGACCUGGUCUUUUGUUUCAACAUGACUGGGGUGGUGGAAGUGGAUUAGUGGUCAAAUUGAACUUUGAAUUCGUCAAAUUCCGCAUCCGUUUGAAUUCGUAAUAACAUUUUCUCGUGUCAGGGUGAAGUCACUUACGGUAUUUUAUUUACUUACAAGUAAACAUCAAAAUACGAAAAGUAAUCAAUAAAUGAAUGCUUUCUUUACGAUUUUCUGAAUUUCAUCAAAUUCAAAGAUUCAAAAAUUUAACAAAACUGAAACCAAUUACGAGAUCUAAAAAAAACGAUUGAUAAAAAUAAUAAUAAAAUUGUAUUAUUUUAAAAAAAUGUUAUACUAUUAUAGACAAAAAUUAGUCACUCAAUAGAUUUAUUACUAUAUUUACCUUUAUAUAAUCUAUAUAUUUUAUGUCCUUAUCAACAUAGGAGUUGAUGAAUAAGAGGAUAAUGUUCCAAGAUAUGAAAAUCUUAAAUAAGAUAUCAAACGAUAAUUUUAAAAAUCAUUUGAUCAUAAGGAGAUUUGUUAAAUGAGCGCACGUUUAUCAUCGCUCGUUGGGUUGAACAAAAAAGUGGGUCCCACAUGUCACUUUAACGUCACUAUGAUACAGGGUAAAUUUUAUGGGAGGUCCCUAAGUUUCUCGCCAACUUGCAAUUUGGUCCCUAACUAUCUUGUAAUCGCACUUCGAUCCCUGACCUCUUAACAAUUCGCAACAAGGUAAGUUCGGUUCUCUUGGUUCUGAUAAUUUUUCUAGAUAAGAUCUUUAAAUAUUGUAAACCAUUUUUAAUGCAUCAAAUUUCAAUUUUAACAUGUGGAUUAUCAAAUUUUUGAUGUGAUGCAUAAAGUACACAUAUCUAAAAAAAUAAAGAAUAAUAUUAAAAAUUACUUUCCAAAAUUAAUGUACCAUAUUAAGGCCUUGGAAAUAAAACAUUGCAAACUCGUCCAACAUAGCAGAGAUUUUAAUGAAAGAAUCCGAUCAAACUAAUUAAAAAAAUAUAUAAGGGACUAAAUUGAAACUUUUGAUAAAAAGUAAAGAAAAUAAGGGCAAUAAUUGAAGGUUAGAGACUGAAUUAAAAAUAAGUAAAAGGUUAGGGACCUUUAUGUAAUUUACCCUUUAUAUAAAAUACCUUUUGACUUUUUCAUAAAUUCUUCAUUCUUGUCGACGACGUUAGUAGAAGGAUUAGGAUUCGAGUAGGUAAGCGGUUGUUAAUCACACGCUAAUUAUGCAUAAAAUCGCCCCACUCUACGCCUUCAAUCACUCACAAAGAAGAGUAUAUUUCGAAACUGAGUGGGUGGUUUUAUCACUCCACUCGCAAUUUAAUUAUAAUUAUUAUAAUCCGUCCUUUUCUUUUUCCGCAGUUUAAUUAAUAAACUAAUCAUGGAUUUCUUUAAAUUAGGGUAAACUUUAAUUUGCUCCCCAUGAUUUAACAUAUUUUCACUUUUUCAUUCCAUAGUUCAAAAAUUUCCACUUAGUAAUAAUAUAUGGUUUUAUUUUUAUUUCACGAUAAAGAUCUAAUCUUUAAAUAUGGUAGCAGAAUAAAAAUACAAAUUAUAUGACGAUAAUAUAUAUAUUAUUUUAUAUAAUUUUCUAUCUUGAUUAGUUACGAUAGGUAUUUGUAAGGACUGAGAUUUUUACAGUGCAACUAAACUUUUUACAGUAUUAUAAAAGAAAAUAAAAAAAUAGACCGAUAGAAUAGAUGAAUGUAAUGAAUGUAACUUUUUCGAACGAUAGAAUGACAAGACAAAAACAUAUUAAACCUUGGGAUAUAUUAAAUUUUAUUUUUGAAAUUAUUAAGGAAGAGCAAUGCUACAGAUACACCCUAAAGUGGGGUAUACAUUUUACACCCACUCUAUCCUAAAGUCAUUCUUAUCACAUUAAUUUUUUUAAAUUUUACUAAAAUCCAAUUUGAUAGGAGCCCGACUUUAUCGAACCCUCGGAUGAAGUUGUGUGUAAAACUUACACCUACUUUUGGACGUACAGAUAAUAUUUCUUUUGAAAAUAUACAAGUUGAAAUAGAGUUUAAUUUUGUUCUAUUGAGGUUUAGCGCAUUUUACUUUACUACUUUAUAGUUUAAAAUUUAUACUAAACUAUUUCUUAAUAUUAAUUUAAUUUUACCAUAAGGCUCUACCGUUACACAUAAUAGUAGAGUGAUACUUUAGGAGUCUGACUAUGAUACUUUUAAAAGUAUUAAGCAUUUGGUGCUUAUAAAUUUUGCGCCAUUAGAUCUAGUCACUAUUUUCAUCCGUUAGAUGAUAAUAUUCAACCAAUCGUCCACUCAAUCCUACGGGACAACUAUCAUCUUAACCACAUAUCUUCUAAUCCAAUGGCCGAAAACCUACAAGUAUCAAGUGCUUGAUGCUUUUAAAAACACCAUAGCCGAACUCAGAUAUUUUCGUAAAUCAAGAUGAUAAAACUCAUAUAGGAGGAUAAUAAAAUAUUAAUUAUAUCGUUCUCUAAUUUGCAAAAGUAUUUCUUUACUAUCAUAUCUAAUAAUAUAAUUUUAUGGUGAAAAAAAAUUAAAUAUAAUUUUUUUAAUUGCAGAAUGACAAAAUAAAAAUAUAAUAACAACACAAGUGUAAAUUGAAGAUUAUCCUUAAAAAUAAAGGCCUACACUGUACUUUAGUCUUUUUUUUUUCAUCUGUAAUAUUGUACUAUCUUUUUUAAAAAAAAUGCUAUUAUAUUAUUAUAUUUUAUCAAUCUCCACUCUGUUUUUAAAAUUUUUUUUUUAUUUUGUACCUUUUUUUAAUAGAUAUUACUCAAUUAUUUUUUUAUCACCAUUCCCUGCAUUACUGUGAACAAAUUUAUUAUCUUAAAUAAAAUCUAACAACUUUAUUAAGAGACAAAAAAUAUAAAAUAAAUUUUCAUAAUGCACUCACUGAAACUGCUAUAAAAUUAUUUCAUCUAUUUUUUUUAUUCUCUAUAACUAUUUUAUUUUUUUAUGUUAAAAUAAUCUGAAUAUAUAUUUUACUACUUUCAAUCAUUAUUUUUUAAUAGUUUUCAUUCAAAAUUAUAAAUUUAUUAUUUCUAAUGUAGAAACUAAAAAAAUAGUUGAGUGUUGCAUUUGUAAAAAUAAGAGAAACUUUCAAAUAUCACCCUUGUGGUUUCGUACUUUCUCAUUUUAAUAUCCUAUGAUUUAAAGUGUAUCAAUUUAGUAUCUAUGGUUUCAUUUUUCUUUUUUUAUUAUCCAUUCCACUAAUUUUUUUUCGUUAAAUCAAUGACAAAGUUAAAGCUAAAAAGGAGUAAAGUGAAUAUUCGUAGGAAGUAUCUGAAGCUUUUUGUAUAUAAUUUAAUAAAAUAUUAACAAAGGAGCUGAUGAGAAGAGAAAAAUUAAACCAUAUGGUACUAACUUGAUACACUUUAAACCACAUGGUACUAAAAUAAAAAAAGUGCAAAACCAUAUGAGUGGUAUUUGAAGUUUACCCAAAAAAUCUAUUACUAGCAUGUGGAGUUAGGUUAUUGUGCUGCCACGUGUUUGUGGGCUUCUUUCGGUGCACCUAGUGCAUCAUAGACCAUUGUGAGUGCAUGGGCGGAUCUUGGGCGUUCCAUGUAUAUUCUUAUAUAUUAAAGGUGGGUUCAGAAUCGAACUUCUACACAACUGUACUACCAGGUGUCUUGGGGUUGCUUUUUUGUGCUCCUGGUGCACCAUAGAUCGUUGAUUAUGGACAUAUGUAUGGUCUAUGGGGGAUCUUAGAUGUAUCUGUUAUAUAUAUAUUUUUUGACAUUAAAGAAGGGUUUAGAGGGUAUCAAAGUGACACGUCCUCCAAAACCCUCCCCUCAUCUCUCCUCCAAUAUAUAUAUAUAUAUAUAUAUAUAUAUAUAUAUAUAUAUUGGUUAUAAAUUGUAUACGAUUCUAAAUUUAAAAUUUUACAAUUGUAAAAUUUAAAAUAAAUUAACCAUUUUUAUUAAUAAUUAAUUGUACAUACAAAAGAAUUAAUUUAUUUUAACAGUCAAUUAAAAACAUACGAAUCAAGUAACUACUUUUUAUUUUAUCAUAAUAUUUUCAAUUCUCGAUAUUAUUUGUAUGUGUCGACAAAAAUGAUCUGAAUAGAAUUAGAAGAAUAAUAAUUUAAAAAAAAUACAAAAAGAGGAUAUGUAUCUUUUGGACAAACUGGCCUAAAAAUAAGCAUAUUACAAAAAUUUUUUUGCUUCAAAAAAUUUUGAAAAUUUACAGAAUCCUAAGAAUCUAUAUAGGAACUAUCGAAUACCUAGAGACAAAAUCUAUAGCAAAAUUUUAUAUUUUCAAAUUAAAUAUUGAUACAAAUAUGUAUUUAAUAUAUAUAUAUAUAUAUAUAUAUAUAUAUAUAUAUAUAUAUAUAUAUAUAUAUAUAUAUAUAAUCGAAAUAUAUAUUAUUAUUUUAUAAAUAUAAUUAAGAACGUACCCACCAUAUUGGUGACAAAGGGGGGUUACAUCGCUAGUAAUAACUAUAUGGCUAGUUAUAACUAGGAAAAACUUCAAAAACGCCCCUAUGGUUUCGUACUUUUUUAUUUUAAUACCCUAUAGUUUAAAGUGUAUCAAGUUAGUACCCUGUGAUUUCUGACUUUAUCACUUUAGUAUCUUGUGGUUUAAAAUGUAUCAAGUUAGUAUUCUGUGUUUUUAUUUUUGUAUCAAAUUAGUAUUAUGUGGUUUUUAAAUCACAGGAUACUAAAGUGAUAAAGUGCGAAACCACAAGGUACUAAAGUGAUAAAGUGCGAAACCACAGGAUACUAACUUGAUACACUUUAAAUCAUAGGGUACUAAAGUGAAAAAAGUGUAAAAUCACAUAGUACUAACUUGAUACACUUUAAACCAUAGGGUACUAAAGUGAGAAAAAAUGAAACCACAAAGGGGGUAUUUGAAGUUUUCCCUAAAUAACUAUAUGGAAGGUGAAAAAGUUUAUAAAUUAUAAUAUAAAAUGAGUUUGACUGGGCUACUAUCGGUAGUAAAAUGCUCGGUUUACUACCGAUUUGUUUUUGAUGAUAAAGCUUCCAAAUUGACGAUCGGCACCGUUGAACAUGAUUUAAACCAUCUAAAUUAUCUAGAAAUCAAAUUUCAUGAUUUUUUGGCAUCACUAACUGAACGAUCAAAGGGUCACAAAAUCUAUAAUUUUAAUGGCCGAUAUGAUGCGUUUGCUUGUUUAACGGUACAGAAGAGUUCAAAUCAACUAAAUUUUUGUUAAAAAAUUUUUUAAACUAUUUAAAAUAAGAUCUAGACUCUAGAUCUCAAAUAUAAAAAUUGUAUCAUCACUUUUUGAAAAAUAUUCAUUUCCAGCUAUUCAUUUUUCUGUUCACUUGAUGGACAAGAGAUCAAUAUCGAAAAUGUGUGAAAUUUGAUUUCCAGAUAGCUUAAAUAGUUUAAAUCAUGUUUAACGGUGCCGAUCAUUAAUUUGGAAGCUCUAUUAUCGAAAAUAAAUCGGUAGUAAAUCGAACCAUUUAGUACUGAUAGUAUUCCAGCAAAACUCAUAUAAAAUAUGCAAAUAAAAAGCUGAGGAGUCUCUUUCGAAAUAGUUUAUACUUGAGGGGUCUCCGUACAGUUCCGCCAAACUGCGUCUUCAUCAUCUCUCUCGAAAAAGGUCUCGUCGGUUCCCGCGACGCUUUCAUUUCCUGCGAGUUUUUCGCCCCUUUUUCCCUUUUUUUUUUUUCCCUUCUUUUUAGCCCUGCUAGGGUUUAUACUCAUCACAUGAUCACCCUCUCCUUGGGUUUCUCACAUCGCUCGGGGGCCGCGUCCGCUUCGUUCUCGAGGUAAUCCCCCCCCCCCCGGCUCCUUUUUCCCAUUUUUAGGGGUUCCUCGGAGAAUUCUUGGUUUUGAUGCGCGUGCCGUGGCUAAUUCUAGGGUUUGCGAUGGAGAAUCGCUGGGACUUCUUGGAAUGGCUGGGCCCGGAUACCUCGACGACCGUGUUCAUGCGAUUGGAAGAUGCCGCCGAUCUCGCGCGCGCCAUUGCCGUGUCCCGAUCGUGGCGCCAAUUUGGUGGGUUUUUGCCUCCUCUUUUUUUUUUCUUUUUGCUGAUUUUAGUAAAAUUUAUGCGAUUUUUGGUGCUUCGAUAUUGCUAAUUGAUCAUCUGGUGGUCGUUGUCCUAAUCGUGGCGCCAAUUUGAUGAGUUUUUGCUCCCUCUUCUUUUGUUGAUUUUAGUAGAAUUAAUGCAAAUUCCGUGGUUUUGGACCUCUAAUUGAUCAUCUAGAGGUCGUUCUUUAGAUACUUAUGGUUUGUUGUUCGUUUCCAGUGAUCGAAAGCAAUUAUGGCUGGGUUGGUUUUGUGUGCUGAUGCUGUCUCGCGGUGCUUUAGAUUAAAUUUUGUGGUCACUGAAUUUGUGAUUGGUAUGAUCAAGGCUUAUUUGCAAGUUCCUCUUUUUAGUUGAUUCAAUUGUUAGUCAGUAUGGAGUGCUAAUGAAAAAAGGCGCCUUUGGUGAUGGAAAUUUUUAUGUCAUUGAAUAUAAUCCGUUAAACAAAAUCCUUUCUUUUUCUCCUUUUCCUUACCAGUCAAUUGUUUACGUGGUCGAUAAACGACAACGGAUAUAUUUGGGAUAGAUUUGAUUUUUAAUUCAUGUUGGCAUAAAAGUAAUUAGUACUAGAUACGUACAUAGAAUUCUGCUAUGUUAGAUGCAAUAUCUACUUUGUGGAUAACGACAAUUGUUACACAUUUACAAUUUGGUGAGGGUUCGGUAAUAGAGCGCUAAGAGGACUGCACUAAAAUUCUUAUCAAAGGGUUUAUGCUGAUUUUGGUGAACUUGUUACUUAAAUAGAAUAGCGAACACAUCAGAUUUUGGGUACUUGCAUGUAAUUGUUUCAAUAAGUUUUAAGCUGAUUUUAUCCUACAGAUACCGCAAGUGUUUGUGAGAGGACUAUGCCAACAUUUUCUUUAACCACAUCUAUUCGACUGCAUACGUAGUUUCUUGUGGUGGUCUAUCAUUACGAUUUCUUUGUUUUAUUAUCUCGUUUAGUCGUUUAGAUGGCUUCCAUGGCUAGCUCAAGCAUGAAAAACAAAGUAUAUUGCUGUCUUGAUUUUUUUUAUCACUUUCUUUUGGGGAGUUUAUUUUUACAUCUUACAGCUACUGUACAGUAAAUGUUCAUAACAGAAAUUUGACCACUUGUGUGCAGGCAAUGGUAAUUUCCUUAUUGGAUUUGUAAUAUGUUUUACUAUUUUGAUAUAAUUUUUUUUUCCUAUUUCUUCCACAUGAACGGAGAGUUGUUGAUCGGUUAUCUGGUAUUUCCUUUCUUUUCCAGAGUUAGUGGCACUUCCUUUUUCCAUUUCUAGUGUAUGUGCCAAAUGUGCAGUGUUCUAUGCUUUCCAUGCUAACUAUAUCAAAUGUUUCUUUGCAGUAAUUAUGAACAGUUUUAGCAAGAAUCUUUGCCUAAAAAUUUGUCCGGAGGCUUCAAAGUUUAGUCAGAUAGUGGAAGUGAAUAGUUCAACCACAGAUCCGGAAGUUGGGUCUAGCACUGCUACAGAAUGGAGAAGAAUGGAGAGGGAACACAGGAUUUAUAUGUAUCUUCUUCACUGCAUUGUUUCACCUAAAGGUUUCCGGGAUUGCAUCCUUCAUUGUAUAGGUGCUUCCAGCACUGAUAAUUUUCCAGAUGAGAGCAUUGAAAACACAUUGGAACCAAGCGACCGAGUGGAUAUGAGACCAUCGUACUGGUCUAGUAGUGGGCAGAGAGAUCCUGGAGUACCUGAGAGUCUAACUUAUCGACUAGGCUCUGAUUUAUGCGUCAUUAAUGAAAUUAAGAUACAGCCGUUCAAAGGUUAGUCUUUUAUACUAUUCAUAUGGGAACACUUCCUUUUAUGGGUAAUUGAUCCUGUUGUCCAUUCUUGUUUUUAUUCAGCAUUUUUCCAGAUUGGUCAUCCCAUAUAUUCUGCCAAAUCUGUGCGCUUUUGGAUGGGUCAUUCCAAGCUCUCUCCAGAAUUGGAAUCAGCAUCGUAUCUCUCUGAUGAGAAUGAAGGCCAACUAACUGCUGUUGACAACUAUGUAUGGACAUAUAUAUCACCAGAGUUUCCAAUGUUGCAGGUAAGCUAAGAUCAGUCGCGUCUUUGCCUCUGUCGUUGUCGAACUUCUGUUAGGAAUAUUUCCGUGACUUGUUUAUAUCACGAAAUGCUGUUUGCACCAGCAAAAGGGUAAUAUACUGGUGUUGCUUCAUUAACUGUAUUUUGAGAUAGGUAGAUAAGUUUUUGCCAACUGACUUACAUCUGUAGGUUUUGGGGAUAACGAUAUCUUUGUGCUAUGUUUUCUCCGUGAGAAUUGUAUAAGGCCCAGCUAAUAUUGGGCUCUUACUUUAGUUUUCUGCGUGGAUUAUGAAGUUGAAUAUGUGAUAUGGUUUAGGAGCCUAUGAGGGAACCUAUCGAAAUCUGGAUCCAUUUCAUCUGCUUAUUCCUACACAAGUUGGAUAUUUUGGACUUGUUGGAUGCCUCAACAGCUUAUCCAACAUAACUGUUCUGAUUCACUAUUGGGCAUUUCUUACUUAAGUAAUGAGAGACAUGAUAAGAUGUAUGUACAUGGAAGUAAGAGGUGUUAAAUUUCCGUUCUAAGAAUAUGACUAAUAGGUCGUGCAAAAAAAAGAUUUAAGUUAGACUGUCAUACUCCCAUACUGUAAUCACUAAUCACAGUAGAGAACUUAUCUCCUUGUCAUACUAUAACUUGGUCCAACAUAUAAAUUAUGCCCUUAUGGUAUAUGUUCCUUCACCAUAAGUUGAGAGAUAUGUUGCAUUCACUUUUAUUGCAACUUGUUAGACAAUUUUGUAUAGAAUUUGGAAAGCCAAGUGCUUUUCAUAAAAUAUGGCAUGUUUUUAUACUGUGUAAGUGGCUAUACUGUUCUUCUCUUCCAAUACAACCACCGAAAAAUGAAAAGACUUCUUAGUUCAUUCAAUUUGACAUGCAUCAUUCUCCAAAUCUGCUGACCACUAUUUCUGGGUAACGUGCCGGAUGCUUUUUAGAAGUUGGACAUUUAUGAUGAGAAAGUUCCUGCACCUUUUAUUAAGAAAGACACGAGCUUAUAAAAUAAAGCUUCUGUACAUUUAUGUGACAGCUUUUGCCUGAACUACUGAAGCUGAGAGAAGCAUCAGAAGCUGUGUUCCCUCGGCAGCUGAUGUUAGGCUCCUUUAGACUGACUGUCCAGAAAAUUGGUCCUUUUCACCUCGUUUCUUUCUUGUGUCCGUUCAUGUUCUUCUGUUUCCCUCGUCUCUCUGUAGAUUGAAUCAAUUUCUGAAAUAGAAAAUUGUUUAAUGAACUUGUGCUGUCGCAGUGUCAUCAGCGUUUUGAAGAUAUUCCUUUAUUGAUUGUAUUUUUCUUUGAGACAAGUUUUAAAAAUAUCCUCUCUUUUGUUUGAAAUUCUCUAAUAAAUUUGGGUUUUUGUAUGUUCCAGGAAAAUAUUUUGCAAUCUUUUAAGCUUCCGCGUCCGGUUCUUUGCAUUGGCGGUGUAGUGAAGAUUGAACUUUUGGGUAGGGUUCAGAAACAGGCAAUUGAUGAUUUGUAUUACAUAUGGUCAGUUCUUCCUCGAUUUUCUAUUCUUCUCUUUUAGUUAUGUUUUACGACAGUCAAUCUACGUGAAACUUUUCAGAAAAGCUAAAAUAAAAGGUUAUAGGCUGAUGCUAAGUUACUAAGAUGGCUACUUGCACCGGCACCACCACACUAGCCCUCACUGAAAAGGCCUAUUAAAAAGUUAAAACUUCAUUGCCUUGUUUAGACUUUCUCAUACUAUUCCUAUCCUUUUCGAAGUCCGUCUAUGCUACUAUCGAUAGUAGAUGAAUAGUGUUUGCUAUCUAAUUUUUAGCCCUUGGAUCAUUUACUAUUCCACCUAUUCCACCUAAACCCAAGGCAUCAGAAGGCCAUAAACUAAGUGGUAAACACUAUUCCUAUACACUUGACAGUAUUCUAGCUUUGCUCGUCCUUUCUUUUAAAUAUUUUAUCUUGCAGAUGAUGAGUCCAUCUUCUUCAUGCAUUUCACCCUAAAGUUGAUAUCUGCCUGGGUAGUUGUUAGUAAACAAGAAUGAAAAUAAAUUUCAUUGCUCCGAAAUUUGAUAGCUUUAGUUCAUAGUGAUUUUAAGAGGCUUUAUUCUUGCCUAUUUUGAAUCAGGUUUUUUUAUUGAGGAAUAAUAUUUUAUACGUAAUCCCUCUUGGAUAUUCACUCUUUUUAUGUUCUCUUGCAUUGGUACAGCGUGUGUCAUGUCCAAGUGAUCGGUCGGCCGCUCUCGCCUGUCCUAGCCGUUAAUAUUCUAGAGGGUGAUGGUGGUUCCAUUCUCAAGUACUUUCCCGGGGCCAGGGACUUGGGUGGUUGGCAUGCGUUUGGCGCCAGACACGGGCAGAUGGGAGCCGCGGGAGGAUGCAAUCAAGCGGUCCUCAACACACUGCUCGAGCCUGUACUGUUUGCCGAUGACGGCGAUGUUUCGGGGGAAGAAGACUCUUUUCCCGAACCAGCAUUGUAAGUUAAUAGCUGCGGCGUUUUGGCCCCUAUCCUUACGGUUUGCCGGUCAAGCCUGAAAAGUAAUUAUAGUCGCGCUACACUUGUUGUUUGUCGAAGAGCACUAACUAUACUCGUCUCGCAUAUCGGGGGUGCGUUUUGUCCGAUGCUCACAAACAAAACGCCCCAAAUGAAGUAAAGUUGUAUAGGUUUGCUGAGAUAUCUGCCCCUUUCAGUUUCUUUUUAUCAGUCAUAAGUGCUGCUGUGGUUUUUUCGGUCGUCUGUGAUCAACAUUUUCUGGAAGCUUCUACAAUAAGCACUUGAUCUAAAGGAUGAUCUGCUUUGCCCCUUUUGUUUUUUUUUGGGGAUUAUAGAAUAGUUAGUAUUUCACCCGCUGCAAAAUCCAUACUGUUGCAUUUCGUUCCGUUAUUAAUAUCAUCAUCUAGGAGUUCUCACAAUGACUGACGAAAUCGAAAAAGAAAUAAAAAAAAUAUUCCUUACAAAUAUUUAUGAUUAAUUUGUUAAAAAGUAUUCUAAAUAAAAAUAAAUAGUUAUGAUUAAUUUAUUGAAAAAUAAUAUUUCUAUCUAUCUAUAAAAUUUAAAAAUAGAUGGUUAUGAUAAAUUUGUUAAAAAAUAGUAUUUUUAUCUAUUUAAAUUAAAAUUUGAGUCUAAAUAAUGAAUUAAAUUUAACUUUUAAUAUCAAAUUUGAAUUAACAAUUAAAAUUUUUUAAUUACAGUGGAUCAUAAUUAAAACUUAAAAUUUAAAAUUUUAAAGUAAAUGCGAAUUAAAUUUUGAUGUUUUUAGUUUAAAGCACGUAUUUAAAUUUUAUAUGGUCAAUUAGCAUAAAAAAUCCACUAGUUUUGCGAUUUUGUAAAAGUGGGUCACUAUUUUAGAUUUUACUGAUUAUGACUGAAUUUUUAGUAAUCUAACAAAAAUACUCUUAUUCCCUUUUCUCUCUCCUCUUUUUUUUUUUUCUUUUGUUUUGUUUUUUUUUUUUUUUCCUUUCCGUCACUCCUCCACCACCUUCGUGGUCUUCGGCAACGGUAACGAAGGUGGUACUGCCUUCUCUUUCAUUGACUCCACCUCCGUCGGCGCCGGUGCUGACACUAAUGUUAGCGCCAGAGGAAAAGAACUCGGAGUCACCUCUACCUCUAUUGGCGCCGGCGUCAACGUGGCGCUGGAGGAGGAGAACUCGGAGUAUGCGAGGAUGAGGGCGGACUGGACGGAAGCAAUGAGGUCGUUACCGAGGAGGUGUUUGCGGUCCGUGAGAAUAAGGGCGAAGACGCGCCCAUCUCCAAGAAGUGAAAAAGGAUACAUAGGAUAGAAAAAAAAAUAAAAAAUAAAAAAAAAUAAAGAAAAAUUUUUUUCUUGAAAGACUAUUAUAUAUCAUCACUGUUACAGAAAAUAUAAUGAAUCAGAGAAGAAGAAAGAAGAAGAUGAUGGUUGUAUUAUUAAAAUAAAGUUGCACUGUUUCACAAAAAAAAAUUGCAUUGUUUAAAAUGAACAUUCCACUCUUUGAGAUGAAAAUUACAUUCUUUGAAACGAAAGUUGUACUUGACAAAAGUUAUACUGUUUCAGAGAAAAUUCCACUGUCUAGCACAGCAAUCACUCUCGCUAGCGCGGGCCCCUCCACCCUGCGCAUCGCUUCGAAGCGCUGAAACCUGGAGAUGACCUACCUCCCCUGCGCGAGGCUCACUCUGCUCCGCUCCACCAUCACCACCACCAACGCCGACGCUAUGUUUGCCAAGAUCAUCAAGUGCGGCGGCCGUGAGGUGCCCAAAUUCGAGUCCUUCUCCGUCGACCCCUCCCCCUCUCCGCCUCGCUCGUCUCCAUCAACCACGCCUCCCCCUCUACUAUCACCAUCGUCACCGUAUCCCCGCUCUCCUCAGCUCCAUCAUUGUCGCCAUCGUUGUUGCCGCAUCAUCUCCGCUAGGGGAGAGCGGGGGCGGCGAUGAUGGCUACAUACAGUCAGUUUAAGAAGGAAGGCUAAACUAAUAAAAGAAAUUUAGAAUAUUCAUUUUUUCACUUUACCCCUCUCAAAAUUUUAAGGUGAUGUAUUUAGGCAUCUCUAUCAGAGUUCCUUUACUAUUUUAUUUAUUUUUUUAUAAUAUAUACUGAAAAUAUUCUUGAAAGCAAUAAAAAUAUAUUAAAAAUAUAUUUUUUAUAAAAUAAGUAAAGAUAAUUUGAUCAUUUUAUCAUCUUUAUUAAUACCGUAAUUUUUUAAAAUAUUUAUAAAAUUUUAAGAGAACGAAAUAUAUUUUUGUAAAAGUCGUAAAGAAAAAGUAAAACAAUGAAAAUUUAUAGUGGGAUUUUAUGUAUUUUAGGAAAAGAAAAAAAAAAAAACAAGAAGGGUCUAUUCCUUGGAAAAAAUUUAGAAUACACCACUUAUAUUACUGACGUGGCGUCUCCAACCAAUUAUAUUGUGUCCUUUGAGUUCACUCAUCCAAUAAUGGUUAAUAAAAAAAUAUUUUUAUUCUACCUUUUUUUUUUUUUAAAGAGAGAUAUAAUUAACUUGUUACUGAUGAUGUGGUGUAAGUGUGACAUAAUAGACUUCCUCGCCGAGAGGAGUAUACUUUCUCAUACUCAAAAAAAAAUCUUGAAUGCAUCACUUAUAUUACUGAUAUGGUGUUCCCAACUAAUUAGAUUAUAUCUUUUAGAUUCACCUGUCCCAUUAUGAUAAAUAAAAAAAUUAAUUAUAUAUAUAUUUUCAAAAAUAUGAUUAAUUUAUUAAGGGUAAACUUCAAAUAUCACCUCUGUGUUUUCACACUUUAUUACUUUAAUAUCCCGUGGUUUAAAGUGUAUUAAUUUAGUAACUUGUGGUUUUAUUUUUCUAUUUCGUCGGCUCUUCCGUUAACAUUUCGUUAAAUUAUAUACAAAAAACUUCAUAUACUACUACAUCUAAAUUUAUCGAAUAGUCAUUUUAGUAUUUUUUUUAGUUUUAACUUUAUUGCUGAUUUAACGAAAACAAUUAAAAGAAAAUAAAAAAAUUACCAAAUAUGAAAAUAAUAUAUUUUAAAUCAUAAAAUAUUAAAAUAAAAAAUGUGAAACAUAGUUGGGUGGUAUUUGAAGUUUUUCCACUUAUCAAUAAUGACGUGGUCUGAGUGUGACGUUAUAGAUUUCCUCCUCUCUACUUAGGGGUGUAAUGUGUGCCGUGCCGGGCCGGCACGACCCACAUUAUCCAGGCCGAAAUGGGUCAGGAGUUGGUCCGGCCCGGCGCGGAUUUACAUCCGGGCCGAGCUGUGUCGGGCCGGAUGCACCAACCAUCCGACCCAGCACGACCUCAGGCCCGGAAGGUUCGGGCCAGGCCGGACUUCGGGUCGGCCCUUUAAAAUUUUAUUUUUAAUUUUUUUAAAAAAAUAUAAAAUUUUAAAUUAUGAUUAAUAAGUAUUUCUAUUUAAAUUUAUAUUGUGAUUAAAAAUUUUUAAAUUUAUAAAUAUUUUAAUUUUCUAAAAAAUUAAUAAAUUAUUGUUUAUUAUUUUAAAUAUCAUUAAGUGAUUUUGGUCCAUCGGACGAACUUGUUUAAGUUGGUCGCGAUGACCAAAACCGCCCCGCCCCCGCCCCCCCCCCCCCCGCCGGAGCUUCGACCACAGCCAAGGCAAUUGGGGUCUGGGCCGUACUGGUCCGGUCGGCCGCGGGCCGGCCCUGUGCCCGGCCUGCACUGCCCGAGGCCUGUCUGGCCAGGCACGAGUUCUACAGUAUCAGUCAGGUGCUGCAGCCAGGCCGGAGACGCGUGGGCCGUCCGGCCCGUUUUACAUCCCAAUCUCUACUCCUCUCGCGGCCUUCUGCUUCCUAACGAAAAUUGCGUGAAACCGAGGACAGAAAUGGAAGCAAAAAAUUGCGUGAAACCGGGGACAGAAAUAAACCGGACGACAGAAAUGGCGAGCAAAUGCGUCGCGCUUCUUUUCCCCACCAUUCAAAUCCCCUCCGAACCCCAGCUUCGCACCUCCACCUCCACCUCCACCCCAACUCCAAUUCCCACCACCACCACCACCACCACCACCGUCGCCGAAGACGCCUCGCCAUCAGAGCCCAAAACUCCCACUCUCCACAGCAGCAGCUCAAUCUCUCCGUCCUCCGCUUCACUCUCGGCAAGCGAAACAAACACUCCCUCACUGCUCUUCUUUCAAGCAACUAACUUAAACAUCACACGCUAUGCUAUGCUAUUGCUCGCUCUGAUAUCGGGCCGAGGAUAAACCAGUUAUGCGUAAAAAAUGAAUACUAAACGGAGAGAGAUCUUGCAGGUAUACCCGGUUUGGACGAGUCGUACCUGCCCAGAUGGAUCGGCGCGGGGUUCGGGUCCCUCAUCCUGCUCAACCACUUCCUCUCGUCCUCCUCCUCCGCAGUGGCGACGUCGGCGCAGCUCGUGAGUCUCUUUCUCUUCGUUCUUGAUGUUGUUGUGUGGAAUAAUUGUUGUUCUGAUUAUUUGGGUUUUUCCCUUCUUUUAUGCGAGUGCAGCGAUCUGAGGCUCUGGGCCUUUGCUUGGCCGCUUUCUCGCUCGCGCUUCCGUAUCUCGGGAGGUUCCUUGAGGUGGGGAGGGACUGCAGUGCCCGCAAUGUGUUUGUUGAAUUGCCGAUACGAGUACUAGAAUGCUAUGUUUUGCCGUUCUGUGGUUUGUAAAAUGUAUUAUCUGAGCUAUGGACUAUUUUGAUUUUACUAUCCAACCUUUCAGUUUGUCUGAUUUGGAUCAGUCAACGACACUUUGAUUUCAAUAUUUGCACGAAUUUGGUUUGGUUAGUAUACUCUAUGCAAUUCCCGCAAAUAUAAAUUCAUUAAAGUAGGUAAUUAGUUUAAAUUUCAAAAUCAAAGUAUGGUUUACAGAUUCAAAUCAAACAAAUUGAAAGAUUGGAUAAAUCAAAAUUUUGAAAGAUUGGGCAGCCCAUCCAACAUGGUUUACAGUUCAUGUAAGUUUUGUACGUUUUUACAUAUAAUAAACUAUCUAACCUUUCAAUUUGUUUGAUUUGGGUCAGUCAUUAGGCAGCCCAUCGAAAAUAGUUUAUGGUUUAGGUAAGUUUUGUACGUUUUUACAAAUAAUAAACUAUUCAACCUUUUAGUUUGUUUGAUUUGGGUCAGUCAACGAUACUUUGAUUUCAAUAUUUGAAUGUAUUGUUUAUCUUCACAGAUUUGAUUUGGUUUGUAUUCUUUAUACAAUUUUCGCAGCUAUAAAUUCAUUGAAGUAAGUAAUUAGCUUAAAUUUCGAAGUCAAAGUACCGUUGACUAACUCAAAUCAAACAAAUUAAAAAAUUGAUUAAAUCAAAAUUUUGAAAGGUUGGGUAGCUGAUUCUAAAUGGUCCAUAAUUUAUGUAAAGUUCUGUACGUUUUUACCUUUAGUAUUUCACUAUCCAAUGGUUUAUACAUUAUACCAUUUUGGUACCCUAGAGAUCUUUAGGGCGAAACAAAUACAAAAUACCAAACCGCAAGAUACCAAAGUGGAACUUUUCAAACAAUAGGGUAGAAAAGUGAAAAUGCGUGAAAGCACAAGUGAGCAAAUUGAAGUUUCCCCUAAUUAAUUCCAUUGUUUAGGAAAUGGAGAUUUUAUAUGCAUAGCAUGCAAUGCUUCUUUGUCAAAUCUAUAGAUUCAUAUAAAAAGAGUGUACGUUUUUCAAUGUCGAGAGAUAGCUAUGGACCUGAAUUUAUUUAGCGGACUAAAGCGAACUUUUACUAAUCGUUCAGUAAAUCUUGUGUAGGGUAUAAAUUCAGCGGAUCGUCAGUCACUUCCAGAAGGAAGUAAGCAAAUAUUUAUCAUGUCUGAAGAGCUGUCAGAUACUGAGAAGGAAGAUAUGGCUUGGGCAUCGUAUGCGAUAUUGCGCAACACCAACACGAUGUCGGUGGUAUUUUCAGGCACUUAUGUUUAUCAUUUGAAUUACUUUUCUUUUAUUGCCACAUAUAGUUGAUGUAUAGGCUAUUGUUUCUUAUUGAUAUGGCUCAAGCUGGCUUGUUGCGCUUUAAUGGAAAAAUGUGAAUUUGGUUCUCAUUUAGGUUUAUGAAUAUUUUAAGUUCAUUAAAAAGAGAUGGCUCAGUUCUAGCGCCUGUAAUUGUUCUUAUGGACUGUUCUUCUGCGCCAGCUUAUAAGAGUUAAUAACGCAUUAUGUAUACGUGGCUACUGGAACACGCCUGAAGAUGUUUCAAGAGUUGCCAUGAUUGAAUUGUUUAAAAGCCAGAUUCAGCAAAGCGGGCUUCUUGAUCUGAAGGAUGCUUUAUACUUUCCCAAAUUCACAGGUAAAUGGAUAUUCUUUGAGGUUUCUGUUUCUAGGAAAGGGCAAUACGAUGUUGAGGGUGUACUUACAUCGCAUAGAAUAUGAAUGAUUUGCAUAUUGCGUUCUGUUGACUUAAUCAAUUCAGUUGCUUGAAAUGAUGACCUAAAAGGCACCAUUUGUAUGUAUGUAACUUGCUUACUGUUAUGUCAUUAUAUUGUUCUCAAAAAUUGAAAUUGGUUUCGACCUCCAUGCAGAUGUUUGAUAUUAAAAGAAACCCUUCAAAGAUUAAGAAAAUUUGUUACAAUGUAGCUCAAAAUAUGUACAAGUCUUUGCCACAUAAAGUUAUACAUUGGCAAGUCACUUUUAGAGCUUUCUGUUUUGUUUACUUAGUACAUUUUCGUUGCAUUGCAUGCUUAUUUCUUCUACUGUCUUGUGAAAUUCAGAUUCUCAGCUUGGGAGGAUUCUACCCAAAGAGACUCUUUCUCUUCUAGUACAACCAGUUAUGAGCUCCUCCAAACCAACCACUGAUACAACAGAGAUUGAAGGUUUUGUUUUGUUGGCUUCCAAUUCAAAUUAUGCAUACAGUGAUAAAGAUAGAGCGUGGAUACGAGCAGUUGCAAGUAAAUUUCAAGACAUGACCGUCAAAGAGUUUCAAGGCAUCUAGGUGUUGUACAAGCAUACUAAUCUAUUCUGUUUCUUGAACUAUAUUUUGUUUCUUUGCUGUGCAAAAAUUUCUUUGGGAACUUGUAUGUCUUCUAUCUCCAACCAUUAAUGAUAUACAUGGUUUUUGUUGGGUAAAUUUCCGUUCUUUAAAAAAGUGAUCCUUAUUUGAAAUAAUUGUGACAGAAGAAUUAUGAACUCUUUUAGGUAUUAAGCAAGUGAAUAUUACGCAUAAUGCUAGAUCCUUCCCAGCUAGGAUGUUACUCUAGAUUGACUUGAUGGAGGAGAUAGAGCGCCGCAACCAUCGGGAAAGCAAGAAUAAAUGGUAAUUAAGAUCUAACAUUCGUCAGUAUUUUGAUUUAAUCACAAGUGUGAGGAAAACUGUUGAACUAGACCAAGGCGACAUAGCUAUUGAUAUUGAGAUACCUGUAUACAACUAGAAAGGGAUUCUUUAACCAGAAAGAAUUCAGUUCAGAUGUAGGAUUCCUAUUCACACGUCUUUGCAACUCAAUCAUGUAUGAUGAAAUCAUCAAAGAUUUGAUCUUUUCUAACUCUGUCUAUAACUCACUAGAGGCUCAGGAAACGAGUAUAGAAUAGCAACACGGAAACUUUUAGAGUGGCUUAUGACUUAUGAGCACAAAUGAUUGAACUACUGUACAGAGGUAAAGCCCCAUGCGAACAACAAGAGCCAUGAACUUUUUCUUAUUUUCCUCAUGUAAGAAGCUUGUAAUUAUUUUUUAUCCCCUUUCUAAUCAUUUGGUUAAAUAUGGGAUUGCAACUUAGGAGCCACUUGCUACACCUUAGAAGCCCCUUCCUACAAAAAGAAUCAAAAUGCUGCUAAAUGAAUUGCAUGAGAACCAAUUUUGUCAUUUCAAUUGUUUAAUCACAGGACACCAACUUUCAUGAAUGUUUUCCAUCUUCUGCAUGGAGAAUGUUUCCCUCAUUUCCUUGAAAAAAUUUGUUCUCCAGAGAACAUUUACAUAGCUCUGCAGCACAAAUAUCUGCGAUUUUCUGCAAUAGAGCAUUACAACUUCUUCACCGAAAUAUAUUACUUCCGUGUAUCUCAUAGGUGUUUAUGCAGCGUCCUUGAAUGGGAGCUGAGACAAGGUUUGAAAGUAGCCAAUGCUGAUGCCACAAAAUUGCUCCCUUGUACUCUCUCCAGGUUGGGAACGAUCAGGUGAGAAAUCCCAAUGCUUUUCAUUGCAUUGCAUAAUAGCUACAAGAACUUCUCUAGUCCAUAAAUCAAAUUCUGCGAAAUUAUGAUCUUGUUUAGCGUGGAAAGCAUGAGCUAGUCCAGAACUUAGAAAAGCUUAAUGUGAUGAUUACCUUCAGGCGUACCACCUUUCUGAUGGCUAAAAUCAAACCUGGCAUGAGGCAUUUGACAUUUGUUACAUCAUGUUUUAGGGUGUAUACCUGAAAAUAUUGUAUGAUUUGCUUUAAAAUUCACAUUGCGAAGUAUGAUUAUGGAUUUAUGCAAUGGCAGACAUACCUCUCCUGGUCCCGAGAAGUUCACUGCUGUACUAGAAGGAAGACCUGGAAGGACCAUGCUGUGUACUCGUACUCCAUCCUCGCAAAGGAUCUGACCCCUUGCCUUCUCAAACACAUUUUAUUUCUAUUGAGUAUAAUUAGUGCUGUUACCUAUCGCAGAGCGAGCUCGUUUAAUUGCUAAUGAUAGCUCUUUUAAAUGUUUUAUAUCAAUAUUGGAAUGUGAUUGUCUAGUCAAUGUAUGAGCCAAACAACUUAACACAGAGUAGCUAACAGCAUGUACCGGACCUUAUUACCAAUGAGAUUUGUAUACUUUGUUAUGAAACCAUGAGAGUUAAAAAUGGUGGUCUCUUUACUUACUGGAUUGUCUGUUGUUAUAUCUUCUCUAUUGUACAUCUGACCAAGAUCAGAAAGAUUGUUUGCAAUCUGUAUGGCCUCCGGCGAUGGCAGGUCCUGUCGAUACAGAGCAAUUAGUAUGUUGAUCUCUCGCCCGAGACACUGCAACUUGUGCUAGAAGAGCUAUGGAAGGUAAUUUACAGCUUGUUUAACUUGGCAUUUUGAACUUUAUUCCUUUAUUUAAAUGAAAUCAACAUGUUUAUAGGUUUUGGAAAACAUACUGCUGGAUCAGGCCUUGAUUCCACAAUCUCGACGUUGUUGUAGUGGAAUGAAGCUUGAAUUGCAGCUUGUUGGAGCAGCACAGAGCCAAUAGACAACGUCGGCGCAAUUAGACAACCCUAACAACAAAGAUAUAGCAGUAGCCUUAUAAAAAUUUUGCCCAUAGUUAAUAAGCAUCACUUGAUGGAACAGUGUGCUGUGACAAUCUCACCAUGCUUGCCUUCUCACAAAACAACGAUAGCUCGGUAACUGUUUCUAACUGAAUUUUUGGAACGUAAACGAUGCUGCUCAAUCCAAAUGCUGCUGCCUACAUGAUUGUAAACAAGAUUGAUGAGUCAGAAUAUGUUCUAAUCCUUUGCAGGUAGCGAAUUUGAGGGCCUUGAGCACCAAAAGCCAAAAACCGACAGCAACCAUUGUGUGGUUCCUUCGUACCUGUUUGACAUUAUCAUACACAGUCGAAGGCUCGGUGAAAUCUACGACAACGCCCGUUGCUCUCGACUAACAAGCAGAGUAAACUAUCCAUGGGUUAGUAUUAAUAAUAUCCUAAGAAAAUAGAGUGAAAAGUAAUGUAAUAAUACAGUAAAGUACCUGUGCAAUAGAUCCCAGAACCAUUGUGAGAUCAUUGAGCACUGGGAUCUCCAAAGGCUCUUCCAUACCACUUAUCUGAAACAAAAGAGUACUCUUUUUAAGUACAGUUACAAAUGAACAGAACACAACAUGAGAAGAACCAAAUGUAUAGAUAGAGAACCUUUCCAGCAUCUUGCCCUACUAGCUGAUUGUCCACAGCAGCAGCCACCUCCAUUCCCCUCGCUUUCGUCACAGCUAAAAUUGCGGCUCUCCCGAUCUCUUUCGUCGCGCCAUUGAUCACAACCUCUUCCCAUCAAGAAAUAAAGAACACCCAACAACAUAAAAGCAUCUUAGUCCAUGGUUUAAUUAGAGUCAUAGUUCCUCUUGUAUAAAGAGUAUUAUACCUUAAUGUUGUUUUGAGAGGGUUGCAUGGAGCAAGUGAAAAUGGGGGACACACUGCUUCUUUUUGAGAUCUUAUUGCAUGAUGUGGGUUGAAGAGGAUAGCUCAAAAAAGCCAUUGUUUUCUCUCUAUUCAAUAACCACUGAAGUGGCUUUGGGCUAGUAGUGAGAGAAGUGAUGGUGAGGAUAUUUUUAUGUGAUAAAGAUAGCCUUAUCUUUUAUUGGAUUUAUUGGUUGGUUGGCUUGAGCCCCUCUUAACAUAUAUUGAAACUUUGAUAUCUGUGCUAUACUUGGGUGCUGAGUUUUUUCACUUAUUUCUAGCAGAACAUUUAGAAACUUCUUAUUUUAAAAAAUUGAUACUGCAAGUAGUCAUUUAAUUUGUGGUUUUUAUUCAGAAUUAAAAUCUCCUGUAGUUUGAUUGUGGGAAGAUUGUGUUACCUACAAUGGAAAAAAUAUGGUGAAAAAAAUAUCAUAUUUGUUUUCGUAGGCGUAUUACGUUGUACAUAUCAUAAUAAGUAGGUUAACAAAAAUUUACAGUCUCAUUAGAAAAGGGAGCAGCAUAUUUUUUUAUGUUUUCAUUCUAAUUCCAUUUUGACUAAUAGUUUUGGGUUGUUUCUUGUACCAAACGGAUUCGAAAUAUUGAAUUUUGAUGACUAUCAUAAUACUUACUCUUUUUAGAAAGAAAAAUGAUAUAUGUACAUUUUAUUGUAGAGCGUACGUAUAUUUACACCUCAUCAUCUAAGGGUUUAAAAAUAAAAAAUAAAAAAAGGUUUGAAGUACUAAAAGAAAAGGGAUAGAACAUGUGAAUAAAUCUGGAUGCUUUGGAGGCUAGGUUGUAAGAUAUGCACUUACACAGUAAUAAGUGUUAUUGAUAGUAUUGCUUUUUCAAAAGAGAAAAAUGAUUAGCACAGCUAAGUGAUCAAACUAAUUCACAUCAAUUUUGCAUCAUAUUCUUGGAGUGCCUUACAUAAGAAUGAAAUCAUUGCUCACUCUUUUAGGUCUAAUUAUGGUGUAAUGAGUUGGAUCUUCUUCAUUUGUGAUAUGGUGUAAUGAGUUGGAACUUCUUCAUUUGUGAAAGGGCCUUAAUUAUAGAGGUGUUGUUGUGUCUAUGAUUGUUGUUCCUUGUACUGGGCCCUAAUAAUUAGUAAUAACUACAUUGUAGGUGAUUACUAGGCAACAUAAACUAAACCCCACAUAUGAGGUUCUCCUCUGCAUGUAUUUGUUUAUAAAUAUGUAAAAAUGAAAAUAUUAAAUGAAUUUGGAAAUGGAAUUUUUUUUUAAAAAAAAAAAUCAUCUCUGAACUUUACAUUCUAGCCGUAACAAAAUUUUAGCAGUCCUUAUCUAUGACUGUAUAUAUUAUACUUUAAUAUCAAAUCAUACAGCAGAUUGCUUUGUAUUUAUUAUCCUGUCAUAUAUAUAUAUAUAUAUAUAUAUAUAUAUAUAUAUAUAUAUAUAUAUAUUGAGAGAGAGAGAGAGAGAGUUGGACUGGGCUAUUAUUAGUAGCAAAAUUUUAUUGUUGUUACCGGUUUUUUAGCCUUUGGAUCAACUCUUUUCAUUAUUUCUAGCCAUUUGAUUAAAUACUAUAACCCAGUGGGGACCACUCAACCCUAAGGAGACCACUUAACUCUAACCGACUAAUAUCAUUCCGACCCUAUAAUUUUUCAUCCAAAGGUUAAAAACUUGAUAGUAAAAAAAGCGUUUUACUAUUAAUAAUAUUCCAAUCUAAUUCAUAUAUAUAUAUAUAUAUAUAUAUAUUGAUGACUAUAGAAUAGAUAGCAAAAAAUAAUAGAACAAUAAAAUAA
rnacentral:lncRNA from 1 species